UAUUUUAGAAGUUACAGUAUUCUCAAACUGACCCUUAGUACUUCACAAAUUGAGCUUCUCUAUGCACUUUUUAUCCAUAGUCUCUAAUUAAUUUCCUGUUCAAUAAAAUAUUUUUUUAAUUAAAAAUAAAAAAAUAAAACUAACCAACAAAUACAUAAUUUAAGGUAAAAUAUCAACAUAUUACAUGCUUAUCAAGAUGUGUUCAAAGUACUUGGCCAAGCUCUAAAGCAAAGAAAGAUACUUUGCCAUGCGUUGAUCUUUAGUGGCAAAUUCUCGAGAGGCUUUAUCACUAUAAACACGUAGCUUCCAGAAUUAUAGCUCCUUGGCAAGCUGUAAUCUUGCUAUCAAUGCCUCAUGCUCAGUUCAUUGUUCGAGGUUGGGAAAUUUAGUAGGAUGGAAUCCUCAAAUACCAUACCCUUCGAGCUCCUUAAAUACAUGCCAAUAUCGUCUCCGUUUUGAUUUGAUGACUCAUCGAUGUAUCAAUAUGAAGUCUCCACUCAUCAUAAAAACGAGUCAAAGCAUGGUCCACAAUUGAAAGUUCACAUUUUAGAAUAGAAUCAACUAGUACUUUUCCUUUUCGGGCUAUUUUAAUAUUGGCUGCUUUGCUGCUACGGCUAAGUAGAUUUGGUUUCGACAAGAUAGAUUUCAGCGGGUAGGAUGUGACAAUAUUAAUUUUGUGCUCUCACAGUAAUGUCUAAGUUUUACUACAACUUGGGUGAGGACAAUCACCAAAUUUUUUAAGACUGUAUGACGAAUUUUUGCAUCCAACAGGGUUUUGCUUCUAAAGAACACUGGAUGUUAUUGAUUCCUUUCAAAGAGUAACACUAUGAUGACGGACACAGAUGAUACUCCCAAGUACAAAUAGAGUGCCUUAUCUGGAUUUGGUACUGUCAGAAUUGGAGGGGUUGCAAGAUAUCUGGAUUGGGGCCCCAACUUUAUCCUUUUCAGGCCUUAAUGGCUUGAAAGAAUGGUUUGCACUGAUUUAACAUCGGGAGAUAAAUCUACUGAAGGUUUCUAUCUUACUAAUUAGAAUUUAAAUCUCCUUUGUAUUCUUUCGCUCAUUCAUGUUGAGUUAAGCCUAUACUUGUGUUAGGUUUGGCUGUAGAGCCUGACCUGUGGGGAAGCUUUUUUCAAAACGGAGUUCAAUUGAUUCCUUGUAUAUGUGCUUUUGUAGUAGGCAUCAAACACAGUUGAAGCCUAAAGUUACGAUCGAUGGUAAUCAAGCUGAAUUGGUGUUUUACAACGUAGCCAUCCCAUAGAGGUACUAAACAUUUGAAAUUAAUCAUGCAAUUUAAUUAAACUUAAACUAACAUUACAUAUAUGAAUAGGUAAAAAUAUUUAAAAUGGACAGAACUUGGAUAAUCUGUGAUCAAUUAUCUAUAGAGUAGAUGGUAUCAGAUUUGCUAACUUCUUAAAUUUUUCCAUUUUGAAUGUUGAAAAGCGAAUGUCAAUUAGACAUCCUUUCACCUUUUGUUGUUAUGUAGAGUUUCAUACUCGUUAAUAGGCGAAUGAUCAUUUAUUUGAAAAAGGUUUUCUCCCAAAAUGUAUAGUUUGGACUUGACAUGGUGAGACUGGCCCUAAUUCUACAUCUACAAAGUGCCAAGACCAUCCACAUAGUCAAAGAUUUAGAUGUCAUCAUUAUGAGACAUAAUUGGCAUUGUUGAAGAUGCUUAUGAGCAUUAUGAUAGAGAUCCUAGUUGCUUUAAGGAUAUAUUUAAAGAUGCUAAAAAACCUUUAUACCGGGUGCAAAACAUUCAAAGCUAUCUAGUUGAAUGACUUUAUAAUGUGAAAGGUUUUAUGGGUGGUCAGAUAAAGGGUUUUUGCUUGUUAAAACUCCUUACUAAUAUUUUGCUAAAUAAUAAUGAUCUGCCUAAGCCAAUGUAUGAGUCCAUGAAAACAAGGAAAGUGCUAGGCUUAGAGCAUGAAAAAAUACAUGCAUGUCUAAAUGACUGCAAUAUGUAUAAGAAUAUAUUUGCUGAUCUUACUAGAUGCCCAAAUUGUAGAGCAUCUAGUUGGCAAAGGAAAAAAGAUGGCUAAAAAUAAUUUAGGAAAAGGAUUCUUGAAAAGGAGUUAUGGUAUUUUCUACCUAUUCAUAGGUUAAAGAGAUUAUUUCAAUCACCACAAAUAGCUCAAAAACUUAACAUGGCAUGCUAAUAAAAGAAUUAGAGAUGGCAAGCUUCACCACCCAAUAAACUCACCAAAUUGGCAACUAAUUGACAAUAAGUGGCUAGAAUUUGCAUAUGAACUUAGAAAUCUCCAUUUAGCUCUCUCAAUUGAUGGGGUUGACCUACAUAGUACACUUAGCACUACUUAUAGUUAUUGGCCCAUUACAUUGGUAACAUUUAAUAUCCCUCCAAGGUUGUGUAUGAAGAGAAAGUUUCUGAUGCUGUCUUUUUUGAUAUAUGGCUCUAAACAACCUGGAAAUGAUCUAGAUGUAUACCUAACACAUUUAAUUAAAGACUUGGAAACUGUGUGGGAUGUAGAUGUUGAUAUUUAUGAUGCAUAUAGAAAAGACACCUUCAAUUUACAAGUUGUCUUCAUAUGGACAAUCAGUGAAUUUCCAGCAUACAAAAACCUCUCCGGUUAUACUGUUAUUAGCUAUUACACUUUAUGGGAUAGACAAUUGUGCAAGUCUGGAAUAAUGAAGAUGCUAGAGUAAUAUAUUGUAGCACUUUUACUGCAACAACAACUAGAGCAACGAUAAAUAAGAUUUCGCGCAUUAGAUAGAAGAUUGCAAUCUAAAGUUUCCAAAAAUAAGAGAUUCAUUACCAUACGUUUCUGGUAACCCUAAUUUCGACUUAUAAAAGGAGCACAUUACAAUGGAAAAGGGGACGGUCAUUAGAGAAAAAGAGAGAGAAACAACACAAGAGAAAACUGAGAUCAAGAGAGAGAAUUGAGGACGGCAACAACAGAUUCAAGAAGAACAUCGAGCGGAUUUUAACUCUUGUUCUUGUUCUCUUGUUUUUAUCUUGUUUAUGAUGAUUUGUUUGAAGGUUGAAACUAUUUUGGUUUUUGUUUUAUCACAAAUUAUGAAUUAAAUUUAUUUGUGGUUGAAUGAUAAACAAUCUUGAUGGUUAGUUGACUGAUAUUUAGCGUUGCUGCAUGUUUUCUAUAACACGUUGUUUUGAUAAUAUUUAUUACAAUUCACUAUUUGCUAACCACCCAUUUAGUGAUAAUAAUUAAGAAAGAGCCUAAAAAAGACCUGACUUAGUGGAACAUAUCAGAGCAAUACUUGGUUUUGAAAAGGGCCAUGCUUAAUCUAAAAUUUAUGAUGAACUAGACAUAGAGAUUCAUCUUGUAUGGUAAUUAGAACCUAGGCUUGUAAUGUUAUAUCUUAUGUUAACAUAACAAUUGGUUACUAUUAAGUUACAUCAAAAUAUAAAAUAUCCAACAAGCGACAGCUGAGGGUACAUAAGGAUUCUGCCCAGUGUUGUAGCAGAUGUUGUAUCAAUCGAACCAAAGGUUAGGAACAUAGUCAAAACCAUUAAGUAAGUUUAACCACUCAACUACUCCAUUCUCAUUAAUUAGUCUCUUGCGUUUAAGUAUCAAAUUCUUCUUAAUUAUUGCCUCCUUAAUUUUAGGAAAUCAAUUUUAUUAAUUAUUCCUUUAUAGUUAAUUUGAAAUUGCACUUACAAGGUUGUUGUAGCAAUUCCUAUAACAUCAAUCCCUGUGGAGACGAUCUUGAAUACUUAUCAUUAUAUUACUUGUUGUGUACACUUGUACAUUGACACCAAUAGCAUUAGAAAUCGUAAAACACGUUUUUGGCGUCGUUGCCGAGGAUUGGUGAUUAUUGUGAUUUGUGAAGUCAAUUUUAGUUGGUGCAAAAAAAAAAAAAUCUUCUUUUUGUUUACGAUGUUUGCAGAAUUAUUCUAGAAACCCUCACAUAUGCAAAUACAAACCUAUUGAAUUCCAAUUUGAUCUAGAGAUUGAAAGAACUGUAAGGAGAUUAAAGAAAGAGAAUAGAAAUUUAAAAAUUGCUGCAGACAUGGAUGAUUUGCAAAAUAUUAUAAUAAAAGAACUUUGGUUGUGGAAGAAUCUAUGCAUGUUACAUUUGAUGAGUCUAACCCCUCCUCUACGGAGAAAGUCGUUGUUGAUGAUAAUGUAGAAGAAGAACAACAAGAAGAAGCAUCAAAUGACAACAAAAAAGAUGCACUACAUGGAAUUCAAGAGGAAUAUCAUGAAGAAACAAAUGCAGAGCAAAAUGAACUUCUCAAACACUCCCCAAGGAGUGGAGGUAUGUUUCUUCUCACCCCAAGGAUGUAAUUUUAAGAGAUCCCUCACGAGGUGUUACAACUAGAUCAUCUCUUAGGAACACAUGUGAGCAUGCUGCAUUUAUUUCUCAAAUUGAACAAAAAUCCUUUGCGGAUGCAGAAAAUGAUGAAUCUUGGAAUAUGGCAAUGCAAGAGGAAUUGAAUCAAUUUGAGAGAAAUAAUGUAUGGGAAUUAGUUCCUAAUCCGGAACAUCAAUCCAUUAUAGGUACUAAAUGGGUAUUUAGAAACAAAAUGGAUGAAUCCGGUGUGGUUGUAAGAAAUAAAGCUAGACUAGUGGCUCAAGGUUACAACCAAUAAGAGGGAAUUGAUUUUGAUGAAACAUUUGCACCUGUAGCUAGACUAGAAUCUAUUAGAAUGCUCUUAGCUUUUGCAUGUUAUAAAGAUUUUAUUUUAUAUCAAAUAGAUGUCAAGAGUGCUUUCUUAAAUGGUUAUAUUAUGGAAGAAGUGUAUGUGAAACAACCCCCUGGUUUUGAAAAUGAAAAAUUUCCAGAUCAUGUGUAUAAGUUAUCUAAGGUUUUGUAUGGAUUAAAACAAGCACCUAGAGCAUAGUAUGAUAGGCUUAAAAACUUCUUAUUAGAUAACAAUUUUUCGAUAGGAAAAGCAGACACAACUCUAUUUGUUAAGCAUAAGAACCAAGACAUACUUAUUGUUCAAAUUUAUGUUGAUGACAUUAUUUUUUGUUCUACAAAUGAAUUGUUGUGUAAAGAAUUUUCAUCUUGUAUGAGUAAAGAAUUUGAGAUGAGUAUGAUGAGAGAGUUCAAGUACUUCCUUGGACUUCAAAUCAAACAAAACGAGGAAGGAAUUUUCACAAAUCAAGCCAAGUACGUGAAAGAUCUACUCAAAAGAUUUGGCUAUGAUAAUGGAACGGCAAAAAACACUCCAAUGAGUACUACCAUCAAGUUGGACAAAGAUGAGAAAGGUAAGGAAGUUGACAUCAAGACUUAUCGAGGUAUGAUCGGAUCCUUACUCUAUUUGACUGCUAAUAGGCCUGAUAUUAUGUUUAGUGUAUGCUUGUGUGCUAGAUUUCAAUCUUGUCCUAAAGAGUCACACUUGUUUGCUGUUAAACGAAUUUUUCGAUGUUUGAUUGGCACCAUUAAUCUUGGCCUUUAGUAUCCUAGGGGAACUCAUAUUGACUUAACUUGUUAUUCGGAUGCUGAUUUUACCGGAUAUAAAGUUGAUAGAAAAAGUACUAGUGGAACAUGUCACUUCCUAGGCCAUUCACGUGUCUAUUGGUUUAGUAAGAAACAAAACUCGGUUGCUCUUUCAACUACAGAGACCGAAUAUAUAGCCGCUGGCAGUUGUUGUGCAUAAAUUCUUUAGAUGAAACAAACUCUUAGAGACUGUGGUAUUAAUCUUAAUCAAAUACCUAUCUUGUGUGACAAUACUAGUGCUAUUAAUCUAUCCAAGAAUCCCAUUCAACAUUCUAGGACUAAGCAUAUAGAAAUUCGGCAUCACUUCCUUAGAGAUCAUGUUCAAAAAGGAGAUGUUGUAAUUAAAUUUGUUUCUAGUGAAAAUCAACUUGCGGAUAUCUUUACAAAACCUCUUAAUGAAGAGAUUUUUAUAAAGAUAAGACAUGAGCUUGGAAUGAUGAAUGUUGCAUCUUGAAUCUUGAUUUGUUGAUUAAGUUGAUAUGUUCCUUAUUGUAUGAAUUUAUGCUUCAUGAAUUAAAUAGCAUGAUAUGUUUGUUAUUUUAUGAAUUUAUGUUUCAUGCAUUAAAUGGCUUAUUGAAAAGUUUUGAAUCUCAAACUGAUUUAAAAUUAAUCAAUUUUAAAGUCAAAAAUAAAAUGGUGUGUAUAAUAUAAGUCUAAGAGAUUGCCCAUAUUCUCUGAGUCAUAUUCCUGAUAACCGGAUUGAAAAACCGAUAAACCUUUUUAUUAUCUCUUUUUCUGGAAAGAAUCGGGUAACCGGUUAUAAAAUCUAGAAAACCGGAUUUUGUUUUGGUGCUUACUAGAACAAUCUGGAUAAACCGGUUAUGUAAAUCCGGAAAUCCGGAUUCGAGCUGCACUUUGGCAGCAUUCUGGAUUCAUUCGGCCAACCGGUUAGGCAAACUGGUAAGCCGGUUUCAACUUGCAAUAUUAUGGAUCCAACCGGCAAGUCAGUUCGUGAUAUCCGGAAAACCAAAUUCGCAAACUGCCUUUGCUGGACAGAACCGGAUAACCGGUUAUUCAAUCCGGAAAUCCAGUUUUCAUUGCAAGCUCACUGUCCACAACCAGUUAACCGGUUAGGCAAAUCCAGCAAGCCGGAUUCGGGCAUAUAUACACUGUUCAUCUUUUUCUCCCCUCUUUCGGUAAACCGGUUAGCUUUCUCUCUCUAAAACCGAUUAUUCCUCUCUCAUUUUCUCUCCAAAAUCCAUCAUUUUCACUUGUUUUUAAUGCAAAUUGAUCCAUAAAACUUGUUUCCCAUCCGUUAUUGUAUCCAAAAUCAUCCUUCAAAUCCUUUUUCAACCUCAAAAUCACUAGAUCCAAAAUCAAAUCUAGGGUUUCAACCAAAUUUUUCUCUCUCUAGAUUUCUUCAUCUUCAUCCAUUUUUUAACCAAAUUACCUCUCAAACUCUAUUUCAAUCCUCAUAAUCUCCCUUCUCAUUGCCUUAUUUCACUUCAAAUCAAACAAAAUCACCAUGUCAAGCUCACGGCCAGUUCAUGGUAAAGCCAAAGAACUCGUUCAACCCACCAAACGCUCACAGCAAGUAGGGGGCUCCUCCAAUCAGUCUUCCUUUGAGUCCACGCAUUUCCCAGCCAAGCAUUUAGUCAAACGAUUUCACCAACAAUUCAUGACUUGAGAGAUACUCCAAACUUUCUUCGUUUUAUCGGAUUAGUUGAAUAGUCUUAGCAUUAGUAAUAGAACUUUAUUACAAUUGUUGGAAGAUGUUGGUUGGAUUAAUGCACUUGUUUUUGAGGAAAAUGUAUAUCCCGACUUGGUGAAAGUGUUUUACUCGAAUAUGGAUUGUUUCGCGGAGAAAGAGAAUCGAGUAAUCACCAAAGUUGGAGGAGUUUCAAUUGAGUUUGAUGAUUCGGAGUUGAACUCUAUCCUAGGAACUUCCGAUGAUGGCCUACAAAUUUUUUCACCUAGGAAAUCUCCUGAUAUUAAUCACUAUGUUCAUAUUGAUGCUGUUAAGAAUAUAUGUCGUCGUAUUAACCUUUCGGAUGAUAAUUGUACUAUCCAUUUCCGCACCCAAUGUCUUUGUCUUUAAACUCGAAUAUUACUUCGUUUUAUUCAGAGUAUUGUGCUUCCUAGAUCAGGCCAUUUGGAUGAGGUUUCUCAUAUGGAUGUUGCCUUGAUUGAUUGUAUUCUUAGACAUCAUCCUGUCGACUUAGGAUACACCAUUGUCUGAAACAUGCUUUGUAUACCUAAGUUGAUUACACGUUCCCUUCUGUAUGGCCAUUUCAUCACCUGAAUCCUCAAAUACUUUAGCGUCCCUAUCUGUGAACCAUCAUGUAGGCCAUCUAAGAGCAUUGGGGUUGAGGCUAUUAGUUCUUUAGGUUUUGAGUGGCAAAAUGGAACUUGGGUAAAGUUCACUGAUAACAAGUUCACCUUUCUUGCUCCAAGUGAUUAUCGGCCACUUAAUGCUGUGGUUCCAGCCGAUCAGCUACCUGUGUUUUCGCUUUCAUUUCGGGGUCAGCGUAGACAUCGUGAUCCUUCAGUGUCUACCUCUGCUCCUGCAGCCUCUGCACCUGUUGUGCCAUCUCCCGAGCCUCCUAUUUCUGAAGAGGUUACUCUUCAACAGCUUAUGAAUGAGGUGAGGACACUCUCUGUGCGGCAGACUGAGUUUCAGCAGCAGCAGUAGUAGCAGCUCAUUCAUGGACAACGCCUCCUCUUUGAGCACUUCGGCAUUCCAUACCCGUAUCCACCUCCAUCACCACCAUCCUCACCACCUCAGUAGUCUCUUAUACUUGUAUUUGGACACACUUACAUUUCAUUUACUGCAUUAUGUUCUUUUAUUUUCGAUUACAUGGAUGGUUUUUAUGAUUUUGGAUUAUGUAUUUGUUUUGGAUGAUAUGGAUUUGUUUUGAUGGUUUGUUAUUUCAUGGAUGAUAUGUUAUUUCCUUAUGCUUUGGAUAGUUUUGGACUAAUAUGUUGUAUUGAGAUUUCGAUGAUUAAUAGAGGGAGCUUUUAUUCUUUUUGAUGAUGAAGGGGGAGAUAUAAUAUGUAAAGGGGAAAUAUGGGAAAUUCAUUUGUUACGAAAAAUAUUCAUACGAUUCAUUUGUUAUGAAAAAUAUUCAUAUGCACUUAUGCAGGGGGAGUUUUUCAAAUCUUUUUGAAAUUAGUCUUUAAACCUUGCAUUGAUUAAGGGGGAGCUUUUCAAAACUAAAUUAAAUUUUUAUAAUGUGUUUUGUCAUCAUAAAAAAUGGGGAGAUUGUUAGCCUAUAUGGCUAUAGAUAUUGAUUUUAAUGAUAACAAACCACAUGUGUUGAUUAAAUAAAGAUUUAUGUAUUGUGCUUUUUAGUAAGAAAAUGAUUUUAUGGAAUUAAGUUGUUGUGGACUAAAAUGAAAGAAUUUUAUAAUCUUUGAUAUUGUUUUAAAUUUCAGAUUUAGACCUAUUUGAAAAUAUUUAAAUAUUUUGGGUCAUUCUAUAAUUUCAUAUAUUUUGGGUCAUAUCAUAAUUUCAUAAAGAUUUGGGAUUGACAAAGUAUUAUUUAGAAAUUCUGAAAUUGGACCUAUUUGAAAACUUUCAUAACGUUUUAGGUCAUACUAUAGUUUUAUAAAGUUUUGGGGUCAAAAUAUAAUUUUAGAAAAUAAUUCACUGUAGUAGUUACUGUAGCAAGCGGCUAUCCGGAUCCUGACAAAUGACAGACCAGAUUUGGGCAGAAAGCUUCUAGAACAUAAACGGCUAUCUAGAUUUCACAAGUGGCAUACCAGAUGUUCAAAAAUUCAAAUUUUGGCUAUAACGGUAACAUUAAGCGGCUAACCGGAAGUCCAUAAACGGUAAGCUGGUUAUCACUAAAAUGUGCAUAACAACUAGUUUUUGAGUUCAAACUAUAUAAACCCAAAUCCAAUUCAUUUUCAAGCUCUCUUGCAAGCAAAAUAAAAAAGCACACAACAUUCAUUGAGCUCUCAUUUCGUAAAUCAUAAAACCUUGAAUCAUCUUUUGUUCUUCAAUUUGUAUAUCUACUCUUUAAGAGAGUUUUUAUUAUAAUCUUCAAUUCCUUAUCUUAAUUGUGAGUGUUUGAGUGUGUGAGACACUUGAGUGAAGAGAUUGGGAGAUAAUCUCUUUGUUGUAAAGGUUCAUUGACACCUUGAAGUCAAUUGUAACCAUUUGAAGCCUUGGAAGGCUUGCAUAGUGAAAUCCUCAAGCUUGGAUUGUUUGGAGGUGUGGACGUAGGCGAGGAUUGCCGAACCAUGUAAAAAUUCGUGUGUUUGUUUCUCUUCUCUCUUACUCAUUUGUUAUUGUGCUUUUAUUGAACUCAUUGUUUCAAAUUUAUUAAGGCUUUAGAUUGGAUUGUUGUGUAGUUUUGUUAGGAUAAUUCUUAAAAAUACCAAUUCAUCCCCCCUCUUAGGUUGCACACUUGUAUUUCACUAAGGAGCUGGUACACCAAUGUAAAAUCUAGACAAGAUUAUUACUAUAUGUCAAUAGUGAGUCAAAACAACCUAAAUAAAUCAGAGAAAGAUAAAGUAAACUUACAAAAUUAAGUCCAUCGAUCAUGUUGAGACUUCAUCUUCAACUCAAGUUUGAAACUAAAUUAGCUACUCAUUUUUUAAUUAAGGGUAAAAUGAAAAUUUUAUUAAAAUACUUACAAGAUACAGGAUAGAAAGGGAAUUAUAGAAAAUGGAGCAAAAAAUGAAUUCAGGGGUGUUAAAUUUGGGGGAGCAACCCCCUUAUUUGUAGAUACAUCGAGUAAAUCAUGCCCAUCAGAUGAGAUUAAAUAGAACACAUCAUCAGGGUUGUGAUUCCGUGUACAUUCCGUGUAUGUGCAUGUAUCGUACACGCAUUUUUCAAUCCACUAAUAUGCUACAAUGUCAUCAGUUAAUGCAAAAGUCAACUCUUUGGUCCAAUAAUAUAUUGCACGUCAUUAAUCAACGCCACCUUAUCUGGUCAACGCCACGGUCAAUAUUUUUGGUUGAAUAAGAUGUCACGUCAUCGGUCAAUGCCGACAUUGUUCAUGUAUACGAUUUUUCCUUUUACGUUCUUCUGGAGGUUUUUAGUUGUUCUAAGCUAAAAAAUGCUAUUUGUAAGGUUCAAUUCUCUUACUUAAAUAUAAUAGAAUUUAUUUUGAGCUAACAAGCUCCUUUAAGUAUUAAAAUAAUAAUAAUAAUAUGCAAUAUUUAAGUCUAAGAGAAGUAAUAACAUAAGUGAUUAUGCAAUGACUAAAUAAUAAUGACAUAAUCUAUGAUAUAAGUGAUGAGGUAAGAGAAGUUGUAGAGAUAGAUAAGAAUUCUAGAAAUUAGUAAGGUAUUUAUGAAGGAUAAUCUCAACCAUUAAUCAAGAGUUAUGGUGGCAAAAUCCUAGCCAUCUAUUAGCCUUAAGAAAUCCUAUAAAUACCCCCUGACCCCUUUCAUUUUCAAUCCAACCUAGGAAUUAAAACAUUUGUUUAGGAGAGAAUCAAAGCAAUUGAUAAGUUUACUCUCCUUAUUCCCAACAAGAUUUCCAAUCCCUCUAUCUAGGGUUUAUAUUAGCAUGAUUUUAUAUUGUUACAGAUCAUAAUACAUGAUUUAAGGUGUGUUUAGGUUUUGUUUAGGGUUCCGGUUUAUUGUGGGUUUUAAUAAUCAACCCUUGGUGCAUUAAGCACACUGGACAAAUUCUGGACAAUAUGAGUAUCUCGAAUUCAAACAUAUAUUUUCUGAACGAUUUUUCUUAAAAACUUUAUAUUUCUGAAAACUAGACAUGUAGGGCUUAUUGAUUAAAAUUUGUUUCAUAAAAUGUGACUUUGUUUUCAAUUUUAUAUAGAUAUUUGAAUCGGACACUAAUACACUGGAAAAUUGUAAUUCCAACAAGGCGAUCAGAUUUACAAACUUAUUUGUACUAUUAAAUGAACUCGAAAAAUUCUGAAAUAUUAUAUAGGAGUUGAUACAUGUGUCUCGUGUUCCAAGUUUUAAUUUCAUAAUUUUCUGAAUAGUAUAUGAUUUUAUAAAAAUCUCCGAACCCGUUCUGUUCAGUUAAGGUACUGUGAAACAGUUUCGAAUUUGUCAAGUAAUAAAUUGUUUUGAAAAUGUUUUUGGUAUCGGAUCCUUUUGAAAAUUUUAUAUGAGAUACCCAUAGAUGUCCAGAAUGGUUCUGUAGAAUAUUAUCUCAUUUUGAGUUUUAUAUUAAGAGUUAAAAUUCUGAGAAUCAGACUAGAAUGGGUAUGAAUUAGAAAAUUUGAUUAUUAGGAUAAGUUAUUGAUAGUUAUGUCUUAUAUUUGUUAAGGUGUUGGAGGUGAUUGAGGCUUUUAGAGGCUUAGAGGUGUGUUAGUUCAAAUCCUUUUAUCGAGGUAAGUAACUUCAUUCCUAAUGUACUAGAUAUGCAUGAUUAUUUUGUUAUUAUUACAAGUAUUUUUACACUAUUUAGAAGAUUUAAUUGAUUUCCAUAAAAAAAUCAGUUUGUGUAAAUGUUUUCAAAUCUAAACUCUUUUUAAUAAAUUGUUUUGUAAAUGCUUUUAAAUAUGUAAGUUAUUUUGUUACAUGACUACCUUUUAUGAUUUUAUCUGUAAAAUAUUUUGCAAACCUAAAUUAUUUUUAUGGACUUUUAUGAUUAUGAUAUGAAUGUUUUGUGCCUAUGUAUGAUUUCAAUUAUUUGUGAUUGUAUGAGGGCCACCUCUUGAGACUAUAUGGGGGCCACCUCUUGAGGGCCAAAGUGUCGCAAAGUGCCACGUAUAAGUCAUUGCAUAUGAAAAACCAAUUAGAAUUGUUUUGGGUCAUUGUCCGUAGUUACUCUGAUUAUGAUUCUGAUCAUAUUAUACGAUAUAUAUGUUCUGGACCAAUACUGGGUUUCUGUUCUGAGUGUGCACACGAUGUUCUAAUUCUGUUUUUGGCCAAGUCACCGAGACUAUAUGUGACACUAUGUGACAUGAGCUAACUAUCUGCUUUCUGUGUACGCAUUAUAUAAUUUGCUUUCAUAAUUGAUUAUUCUUUUGAUAUUCUGAAUUAGCAUGAUUUUAUGUCAUCUUAUUGAAAGAUGUUGUUCUAUGAAAUUUAUGAAUUGUAACAUAUGUUUUAAAUGAAAGAAGGCUUGCAAUAAUUUUAGUAUCGGUACGGCUAAUGUGUUAGGAAUGGUUUUACUUACUGAGUUGAUGGCUCACCCCUCGUCAUUACGUUUUGCAUAUUAAGUACUUUUCAAGAGGUGUACUUAGCUUAGAGUUAGAGAUUUCAUUUCCUCUUUGCUAUUUGAAUAAGAGAAGAAAUGGACUCAUGUUUUUUUUUAGUAUAUUUCUGUUAUGAACUUGUAAUUUGGAGUUUUGAGACUUUUGUUAUUUUUAUGUUUCAAAAGAGAUUAUUUAGUGUUAGAUGUAUGAAUUUGUGGAUUUAUUUGAACAAGAAUUUGAGGUAUUUCAGUUUGGAAUUGAUGAGUAAGGAUUAUGAUUUGUAAGUAACCUCCUUCUUCACGUGCUCCGCACUUGUUAGAUUUGGGGUGUUACACUAUCUGUUCUAUUGUUCGACUUCCCAUUAAUUAUGAGAUAACCAAAAUACCCUUGAAAUAUAUAAAACACUCAAAAUAUAAUGAAACACAAACAAUCGAAGUUUAAAUAACUUAAAUACGUAAAAGUAGAAAUGUUAGUGAUACUUAGAGUGCAAAAUAACUAUUCUAUUGUUUAUAAAUAUGUAUUUUUUAGCACUCAACAGAAACCAUAUUAUGUAGGAAAUACUUCAAUGAUAACUAUUAGGGUUUGUACUAUUGGCAUUGUUAUGCCAAUAAUAUUGUAAUUUAUUUAUUCCUUGUAUUAAGGAUUUGUCUAGGCUUGGAUAUUUAUUAGAUUAGAUUAUAUAGAAUAUUGAAAAUUAUUUUUUAUGCAUAGAGAUGCAAAUUGGUAGGUGCAUGAAGAGUUCCAAAUAAAAAUGAUUGUUGCAUUCGUAAGGCUAUCAAUUAUUUGUAGGAUAUUAGACUCUUAAGCAAGUAUAUCCUAGUACUCCUCUACUAGGGUCUGGGUAAAAUACUACAAUUAUAUUAAGGGAACUAUUUCAUUUAUUAAAGACUGAAAAAAAACAUCGUAUUUUAUGUCAAAGAAGCAACUGUUGGUUAAUUUCUAUAAGUAAUUAUUAUCAAUGCCAAUGUGCAAGUAUACACAACAAGUAAUAAAGCGAUGAGUAUUCAAGAUCGUCUCCACAUGGAUUGAUGUUACUCAAAAUACUAAAGCAAAUCACAAUAAUACAAAUCAAUUAAUGACCGAAACAAACAAUUGUUGAAUAAUUCUAUGUAACUAAUAGUUGAAAAUAAAACAAUACUGUAAUGAAAUAAACUGAGUUGAAUGUGUCUAAGAUUCAAUUGAGAAUAUAAUGGUUGAAUGAUCAAACUCUCCUAAUGGGAUGACUGUUGUUUACCAAAUUAGUACCAGUUGUUACAAUAAGUGUUGCAGCAAUGGGUAGAAUAAAUUUGCAUCCGCAGCCAUCGCAUGUUGGAAAUCUCAUACCUUUAAAUCUACUAACAAUGACCAGUUGCUCAUAUAUUUAUGGUAUGACAUUAUAACCUUUAAUCUCUCUACCCUACAAGGUGAACACCUAUGUUUAGAGUGUCACAAAUCUUAACUUCAAGUAUUGCCCUUAUGAGAUUCAAGAUAACCUAAUCCAGGAAACUCGACUUAAGAACAAGUAAUACUCUAAUAAUGUCCGCUAAGACAUGCCCUUUUUGCUGCUCUAUCUUAACUGAAACUAUUAAAUGGGUGGUCAACCGAAAUAACAGUUGUAUUAAUAAAAACUACUAGAGUAUAAUGCUACAGCAUUACCAUAACAAUAUAAAAGAACAGUCAAGAACCCAUUGGAUUAUUUGUCACUCAACCACAAGUAAAUUUGGUUCAUAAUCUGGAUGAGAAAAAUAAACACAAAUAUAUUGGUCUCGGAAUACAUCAAAUCAAUUAAAGGAAAAAGAUAAAUAUAAGUUGAGCACAAUGAAAAUCAAAGUCAAGUAAUUCUGCCCGAUUGUCCAAUGUUGCCGUAACAAUACUCUUCAAUUUUGAUCUUCUUCUCCUUCAUUCCUUCUAAUUACUCUAAUGUUAAUUCCUUGUCGCCCUUCUAUGUGGUGCACGCCUCCUUUUUAUAUUGCAAAUUAGGUUAAAACCAAAGCCCAUGAGCGUGCAUGUGUUUAAAUUAGGAAACAAGCAGAUCGCGACUUUAGGGCUGACUAGCGCCUAAAUUUUCUCCCGCACUACUCCCAAAUUGCUACAACACUGGUUGCUCUAACAGCCGCUACAACACUGUUUUAUUCCCGAUUGUGCUUUACUUCUUUUGUGGCCAUCUUCCUUCCUCUUCUUGCUCUUUUAAUGCCUCAACAUCCUCUCACGAAUUUAAAACCUACAAUUUAAAACCUAUUUUUAGCACAAAUUACUAUGAUUCAAUCAAAACUUAUUAAAACUCAACUAAAAUGAAUGUUUAUGCAAAAGGUACCCAAAAUGUAAUAAAAACACCUUAUUUGUUCUCUAAGUGACCUUGAUUCAAGUCUAGAAUUGAUGUAAUAACUCUCAUUUCCUAGAGUUAUCACACCCCCAAAUUUAAACCAUUGUUUGCCCUCAAGUAAUGACAUAUACUAAUAUUUCCCGCAAACAAACAUGCACACAACUUUAGCUCUUUUAUCCAAUUUGCAAAGAUUCUUCCACUUUCACAUCACAAUCCCAAUCAUACAAAAUGCCCAUAGUAAAUCAGUUCUAGACUUAAGCCUCUUUCUGUCUAUAGUGUGUGUGUGCUACUUUGAUUAAAUUCCAGAUAUGCUGUAACAUCACCCAUGGACUGCAGAAAUUUCAGCAGUGAUAUACUUUAUUCAUGAAAGGGGUAGCAUAAAUUUCACAUAUUCAAACUGUGAUUGUUCUAAUAUUGCUAAACUGGGGAGUCAUCAACCUCCUCACUGUAACAUUUAUCUUUCAUGUAAAUGUCAAUCACUUGUAAUGAUGACACCCAAUUACUCAAACCAUGCCCAGAUCAAAGUUGCUGCAGCAUAACUAUAACGUACUCUUAUCUAGAGGUAUCUUUUACUCAAAACUGAACAUGGGGCUCAUGAACAGACCUGGUUACUUGAUGCCUUAGACAGAGGAUUUUUUUGUUUUUUUAACAGUGCUACAUCAUUGCUCAUAACUCUUGCUACCUUUGAACACAAUUCUGCAUAUGGGGUACAUACUCAGAUCUGGUUUACUCAGCAACUUGAGUCAUUGGAAUAGAUUGUAUUUCAUAGAAAUCACAGUUAAUCAAACGUGCUUCUCCCCCCAAACUUAGGAUCUGUUCUAUUCUUCUGGCUUUGCUCUAGCAGUCUCAUACAAUUCAACCAAAGUCUAAGUGUCAGGACAGAAUUUCACUUUCAUCUAUAACUUAUCUCUACUUGGCAUUCUCAUAAUACUGAAUAACACUCAAUUUAUCUUUAUUAGGUAUUCAAAUCCAUACAAAAAUACCAUAUAACAGAGCUUCACACAACACAUACAUAAAUCACAUGCAUUCGGCAACAACCCCCCCAAACUUGAGAGAUGUUGUGUCCUCACAAGCAUACAUAACAACAGCUCACAAAUGGACAAACAAUAAACUAGUAAAGCUUUUUUUUUUUAACUGAAAUGAACUAGGAAAGAAAGAGUACUCCCCUGGGGUGGGGACUGUAGCACAGGACAUGUUGCUCAUCAGCGCUUCUUGGAUGCACUGCGCAGCUUAUCAUUUGGUGAAGCUUUGGGGGAGGUGGCUGGUAAUGUCUUGGUCUUUUUCACUGCGGGGCUGGUGAGAGGAGUGGUGGUUGGGGUUGUUGUAGCAGUACCUGUAGACGUACUGCCUUUUCUUUUGCUGGAUUGUCUUGGACUGGUGCGAAUAGAAUGGCUAGGAGUUUGUUGUGGAGGCUUUGGGGUCAAUGCAUCAGCUGCCUGGCCCUCAGCGGUGAUGGCAGCAAUAACCGUAAGUAGUUGCUUGGCUUGCUCAGAUGUAAGCAUAGCUCUGGCUGCUGCAGCAGCCAGCUCAGCAUCGACUCGCUCCAUCUCAUCUUCAGAGGCUGGAGGGGUUGCCAAUUUAGCUUUACCCUUAUUCUUCCUCUUACUCGCGAAAAUUGGAAUAGAGGGUUCCUCUUCAGGGUCUUCUUCCUCUUCUUCUUGAAUAAUGUGUUUUUUUCUGGUUUUGGUUUGAGCUGGGAUGGUUGGUUCCUCACUUUCUUUUUCAGAGUUGUCUUCUGCCUCUGAGGGUGAGCUAUCAGUCUCAGACUUGUCACCUUCGUCCUCAGGUGGUUCAAAUGGUUCAGCCUCUUCUGAGUCGACUGCUGCUUGUGGCUCAGUGGCAGCUUCCUCUGCUGGUUCAUCUGAAGCAGUGGCUUCUUCACUGGUUACUGCUGGAGCACCUGUGGUGUUGGUGUCAAAAUUAAACUGCUGGAGCAGUGCAUCAGGGAAGUUCCGGUGAGUGCGUUUCAUAUACAGAGCAAAUUGGUGUAGUUGGUUAUCCAGGUGCUGUAGAUAGCUCCAAAAUCGACCAUUUUCCCUCUGUUGAGCUUCUACACAUUGAGUUAUACUAUUGCUGAGUGCCUGGAUAGUCUGUUCUAACCCAAUAGCUCGUCUUGCUCCAGUGACAACAGCUGGUUCAGUGGUUGUUCCAGCACUCUCACCAGCAACUCUCUCAAUUGUACAUGCCGUAAAGCCACCAUCAUUUUUUACAUGUUCAUCUCUGGCGUCAAGACGAACACCUGCUCACAGGCAAUUUCAGCAGGUAAGUUAUAGAAAGCAUUGAUAACACGGGAGUCUAAUGGGACAAGUGUAUUUCUUACCAAAUUGGCGUAAAAUUCUUUGACAACGGGCAGCACAUGAUCUCGAGGGUGAUUGCAAAACUCUAGCCAUCCUCACUUUGCCACAGCAUUAUGAAUGGUUUGCACAAUUCCCGUGAGUUGGUCUGGGAAUUGAAACCCUUUUUCUUCCAGAAUUCGACGCGGCUCUAUGAAUUCUUCAUAUUUUUCUUUAGCGUGAUAACUCUGGAAUCGUGAUGGAUAUUUGAGGUGGCUUGCUGUUUUCUUGUAUCUCGGCAUUGCUGUAGCAGUAACAAAUUGACGUUACUGUUCCUGAGAGUAAAAAGAGAAAAAUAGGUUAAGAAUUAGGAGAGUUGGAUUUUGUGAAGGAGAUGGGGAAUAAUGGCAUAGAGUACUAAGCACAAUGACUCCUUUUUAUAGUGGACUUUUAAUUGGAGAUAAAUACGGUAACUUGAAAUAAUUUAGGGACUAAAAUAUUUUGAGUUAAAUGUGCAUAUCCCAAAAUCAUCAGCCAAUGAAUUUAAAGCUCUAUUUUCGGAGAUUUGUUUCCGCAAUUUCUAUCCAUAUCCAUGCAUCCAUCUGUCACGAUUUUAUCUCCAACGGUAAGUGAAAGGCUCCAGGUUUUAAUUUACUGUAACGGUACAAUUAGCUGCUGCAACACCCAUUCGCUUAUUCUAACAACGGAUACAUACUCCCCACUAAAAGCUUCUGACACGUGGUUCACCUCUGAAUUCUGCCACCAUACAUUCUCACGUGUCAAUAUAGAAUUCAAUUGUCACACUUAUUAAAUUCAAGUCUAAAAUUAUUUAAAGACAUAUAUAUAUCAAAUUAAAGUGAAACUAAAGUAUGCCAUAAUGGAAAAAGAUAAAAAUAAAUGGUUAACAUGGAAAAACAAGAUUAAAUAAAAUGGUAAAGAGGGAGAGCUGUCCAUAAAAUCAAAAGAUAUCAAAAUUGGUUUGAAGUGGUUGUCUCCUCAAUGGGCUGCUUCCCAUGAAGCGCUUGAUUUAAGGUUCUUUAGCCUGACCUUCUAUCUUUGCUCAAUAGCUGGGUUCUUUAAGGAGUAACACCUCCUUUGAACAUUCUGCUACUGGAUGUAUAUAAUGUUUAACCAUGUGCCCAUUAACCUUGAACUCAUGGCCUGUUUGUUCAUCUAGAAGAUCAACAGCUCCAUGAGGGAAAGAUUUUAACAACUUAAACGGGCCAGACCAUCGUGACUUGAGUUUUCCUGGAAACAAUCUUAGUCUUGUGUUGUGGAGCAACACUAAUUGACCAGGGGUGAAUUUCCUGUGUUGAAUAUGUUUGUCGUGCCAGUGUUUUGUUCUCUCUUUAUAGAUUCUUGCAUUUUCAUAUGAAAAUAGCCGUAAUUCAUCAAGCUCACAAAGUUGAAGUUUCCUUUGCUUUGCUGUAGCAUGCAUAUCCCAAUUUAAUUUCUUCAGUGCCCAAUGGGCUUUGUGCUCUAGCUCUAGUGGCAAAUGACAUGCUUUGCCAUAAACAAUUCGGUAAGGAGACAUGCCGAGUGGAGUUUUGUAUGAUGUUCUGUAAGCCCAUAGAGUGUCAUGCAAAUGUAAAGACCAAUCCUUCCUUGUUGGGUUCACCACUUUUUCUAAGAUCUUUUUAAUUUCUCUGUUGGACACUUCAGCCUGACCAUUGGAUUGUGAGUGAUAUGAUGUUUCUAUCUUGUGUCUGACUCCAUAUUUCAUCAUUGCUGCGGAAAAGAUUUUGUUGCAAAAAUGUGUGCCUUCAUCACUAAUAAUUGCUCUAGGAGUGCCAAACCUGGAAAAAAUAUUUUUUUGAAGAAAAGACACCACUGUUUUAGUAUCAUUGGUAGGUAGUGCUACAGCUUCUACCCACUUGGAGACAUAAUCUACAGCAACAAGGAUAAAUAAAUUCCCAAAGGAUGGGGGAAAAGGUCCUAUAAAAUUUAUUCCCCAAACAUAAAAAAUUUCACUUCCAGUAUGUUAGUCAAUGGCAUCUCAUGUCUGCUAGUUAUGUUCCCUGUCCUUUGACACCUGUCACAACAUUUAACAAAUUCAUAAGCAUCUUUAAAGAUAGUGGGCCAAUAAUAACCUGAUUGCAUAACUUUUGCAGCUAUUCUAUGACCACCAAAAUGUCCUCCAUAUCCUGCAGCAUGACAUGACUCCAGUAUUUGAGGUAUUUCUUCUGCUGCAACACAUCUUCUUAUUACUUGAUCUGAGCAUAGCUUAUAUAAAUGUGGGUCAUCCCACUGAUAACUUCUAACAUCAUGAAGAAAUUUCUUUUUCUCUUGAAAUUUCAGCUUAGGUAGUAGCAACCACUUACUAAGUAGUUAGCAAAGUCUGCAUACCAUGGAGGUUCUGACUGCUGCAGCAUCUGUGAUUGCUGUAUUACCAACAGCUGUUCAUCAGGAAAAGUUUCAGUGAUGCCCUUCCUUGUCAAUGUACUAGUGUCUACUUCCAGCCGUGACAAGUGGUCUGCCACUUGAUUCUCAAUCCCCUUUCUAUCUUUAAUUUCCAGAUCAAAUUCUUGAAGCAAUAAGAUCCAUCUGAUUAAUCUUGGUUUGGCAUUCUUUUUUUAAAUUAAAUAUUUGACGGCUGUAUGGUCUGUGUAAACAGUUACUUUGGUACCCACCAAGUAAGCUCUGAAUUUUUCAAAAGAAAAAACUACUGCUAGCAACUCUUUCUUUGUAGUGGUGUAAUUGAUCUGAGUUGGAGUGAACGUUUUGCUUGCAUAGUAUAUGGAAUGAAAAAACUUAUCCUUUCUUUGCCCCAAUACUGCCCCCACAGAAUGAUCACUAGCACCACACAUCAAUUCAAAUGGUAAAGUCCAAUCUGGAGAUAUAACUACUGGAGCAAUGAUUAGAGCUUUCUUUAGUUCUCCAAAUACUUUAAGGCACUCUGUGUCAAAGUGAAAUGGUUUUUCAUGCUCUAGCAAUGAACACAGAGGCUUAGCUACCUUGGAGAAAUCUUUAAUGAAUCUUCUGUAGAAUCCAACAUGACCCAAAAAACUCCUAACACCCUUUACUGAUGUUGGAGGUGGCAGCUUAUCUAUUACAUCUAUCUUGGCUUUAUCUACCUCAAUACCAUCCUUGGAUAUCUUGUGACCCAGCACUAUUCCUUCUUGCACCAUGAAAUGGCACUUUUCCCAAUUGAGUACUAAGUUGGUCAUCUCACAUCUUUUAAGAACGUCUUCCAAGUUGUGUAAACAAUCAUUGUAUGUUUCUCAAAAAACUGAGAAGUCAUCUAUGAAAACUUCCAAAGUUUGCUCUACCAUUUCAGAAAAUAUAGACAUCAUGCAUCUCUGAAAAGUUGCUGGAGCAUUGCAUAGCCCAAAUGACAUUCUUCUUAAGGCAAAUGUUCCAUAAGGACAAGUAAAUGUAGUCUUCUCUUGAUCCUUUAGAGCUAUAGCAAUCUGGUUGUAGCCUGAAUACCCAUCUAAGAAACAGUAGUAUUGUUUUCCAGCAAGUCUGUCCAACAUCUGAUCUAUGCAUGGAAGUGGGAAAUGGUCUUUCCUUGUGGCUUUGUUGAGCUUCCUAUAAUCCAUACAUACUCUCCAUCCAGUCACUGUCCUUGUAGGAAUAAGCUCAUUCUUCUCAUUAGCCAUCAUUGUUAUCCCUCCUUUCUUGGGAACAUAUUGAACUGGGCUCACCCAUGAACUGUCUGAUAUUGGGUAUAUAAUUCCAGCAUCUAACCAUUUGAUGAUUUUCUUCUUCACCACUUCUUUCAUGAUAGGGUUCAACCUUCUCUGGUGCUCAACUGAAUUGCUGAAGCAAUCUUCUAGCAGAAUUUUAUGCAUGCAAAUUGAUGGGCUUAUCCCCUUUAUAUCUGUCUUGGUCCAUCCAAUUCCUCUUCUGUAUUUUCCAAGCAAAUCUACUAAACUAUGUUCUUGACCUGCAUCCAAAGUAGAAGAGAUGGUUACAGGGAGUGUGUUAUUUUGACUAAGAUAAGCAUAUUUUAAAUGUGAAGGUAAUAGUUUCAAUUCAAGACUAGGAGGUAAUUCAAUAGAUGGUAAAACUGUUUUUACUUCCCUGUCUGAAAGAUUCAGAUGCUCAAUGAACCUGGUGUGCCUAUCAAAUUGCUUUUCUUCCAUCCAAUCUGUCUGAAUUGCUGCAACAUUUUCCUCUUCUACAUCAUCAAAGGUAUUGACUCUGUUAAAUGCUUUACUGCAGCAUCUAUCCAUUCUGUCUGCUACAACAAAAUCCACUACACUCAGGAAGUUGCAGUCUUCUACUUCAUCAAGGUUUCUCAUAGCUUCUAGUACAUUAAAUGUGACUUGCUGAUGAUUCACUCUCAUGGUGAGCUCUCAUUUCUGAACAUCUAUCAGAGUCUUUCCAGUUGCUAGGAAAGGUCUUCCAAGUAUAAUGGGUACCUCUUUAUCAACUUCAAAAUCCAGUACAAUGAAAUCCACUAGAAAGAUGAAUUUAUCAACCUUCACCAGUACAUCCUCUAUUUUUCCUUCAGGGUGUGCAUGAGAUUUGUCAGCCAAUUGCAGAGUGACUGUUGUUAGUCUCCAUUCCCCUACUCCAAGCUGUUUAAAUACAGAUAAUGGCAUCAAAUUAAUGCUAGCUCCCAAGUCACAAAGUACUCUGCCAGCAUACCUAGUCCCUAUAGAGCAGGGUAUUGUAAAACUCCCUGGAUCUUUCAAUUUUGUGGGAAUUUUACUCUGGAGCAUAUGACUGCUUUCUUGUGUUAAAGCAACAGUUUCAAACUCUCCCAACCUUCUUUUUCGUGCCAAGAUAUCUUUUAGAAAUUUCACAUAAUUUGGCAUUUAUUCCAAAGCUUCUACAAAAGGUAUAUUUAUGUGCAGUUGUUUCAGCACUUCCAGGAAUUUACUGAAUUGCUUGUCUUGUUUUUGCUUCUGGAACCUUUGAGGGAAGGGUGGUGGAUGUCUAAACUGCUAGUUAGAUUCAGUAGGUACCAAACUUCGUUUGUUUAGGGUAGUGCAAGUUGUGGCUACUGGUGUGGCAGCUUCCUUUUCAGCAUGAUCUGAUUGCAUUUCUUCUGUAGUUGUUGUAGCUUGGCCCAAUAAUUCAGUGUCUUGAUGGGGAUUUUUCUGUAGCAAGCUUCCUUUUUGAGUUGGUUUUUGUGCUGAAUUGCAUUUCAUCCCCUUUUUGGUUAUCUCAACUGGUAUAUCAACGUUCUUUCCAGAUCUCAAACUAAUUACUUUGCAGUGUUCUUUACUCUCUCUCCUGGGAUCUUCUGUGUUGUUAGGUAGGCUCCCUUGAGUUCUGCUGCUCAUGGCUGUAGCUAGUUGUCCCAUUUGGUUCUCAAGGUUUCUCAAGGACACAGCUUGACUCUGCACAAUUGCUUCAUUCUUUACAAUAUACUCCUUGAUCAGUGUUUCCAAUGAAGUGAUUGGAUCCUGACUGAUUUGUUUUUGCCCUUGACUCUGCUGAUGAAAACCAGGUGGCUGUGUGUUUCUAUUCUGUCUAUUGAAUGCUGGAGCAUUUCGAUUCUGACUGCUCCAUGAAAAAUUUGGUGUUGUUUCUAGCCUGGGUUGUAAGUAUUUGAAUAUGGGUUGUUCUGAGGUUGUCGAUUGAAGUUACCCACAUAGUUUACUGAGGCUGGAUUUCUAGGACAAUUAUCAAAAUCAUGUUCUUCACCACAGUAGACACAAGAAAGUUCAGUAACUUGCUUUACUGUUGUUGUAGCAGCUGUCAUGACUUUUACCAUGUUAGUCAAUGAGGUUACUUAAGCUGAUAAGGCUGUAAUUGCAUCAACGUUAUGUACCCCUACUGAUCCUCUUGCGGCUGGUUGCCUGGCUGAAGGCCACUGGUAAUUAUUGUUGGCAAUUCUUUCCAGAAUUUCAUAGGCUUCAGUGUAAGAUUUGGAUAACAGAGCUCCAUUUGCUGAAGCAUCCACCAUUAACCUUGUACUCGGAUUCAACCCAUUGUAGAAAGUUUCCAAUUGAAUGCAACAAGGGAUACCAUGAUGGGGACACCUUCUGAAUAAUUCCUUGAAUCUUUCCCAAGCCUCAUACAGACUUUUAUCUUCAAGUUGGUGGAAGGAAGUAAUCUCAUUCCGCAACUUUGCAUUUUUUGUCGGUGGGAAAUAUUUCAUUAAGAAUUUAUCAGUGAUGGAAUCAGAUGGUAAUGAAUUUAACCAUGCUCUUGCUCUAUCUCUUAAGGAAUAAGGGAAGAGCCUCAGCCUUAAGGCAUCUUGUGUCGCUCCAGCAAUCUUGAAAGCAUCUCUUACUUCCAAGAACAAUUUGAGAUGGAGAUGAGGAUCUUCAUUAGGCAAUCCAUUGAAUUGUCCCACUGUUUGUAACAUUUGAAACAUCACUGGUUUUAACUCAAAAUUUGCUGCUUCUACCUCAAGUCUGACAAUCCCAGGGUAUACAACUUGCGGAGUUAGUACAGCGUAAUCUCUUAUAGCUCUGUCUCUGUCAUCAACCAUGUAAAUAAUAUUGUUGUUGCCUGGAUGUCUCCCGUUAGCAUGUUCAUUCUGUUCUUCUUGAAUGUUGACUAGUUGUAGAGGCCCGUGAGGAUUCAAAUUUUGCGCAUCCAGUAAAUUAUUCAUGCUUGAAGCAAUUUCUGAAUUCCUUUUUUCUCUUCGUAGUUUCCUGACAGUCCUUUCAAUCUCAGGAUCGAAUUGGAAUGCCACAGAUCUGUCUUUGCGCAUGCAUGUACUGAUCUGCCAAUAAAUAGAAUGAAUCAAAUCAAAUUUGCCGCUAUCAAGAUUUACUUCACACUUAAAAAAUAAACAAUCAAUCCCCGACAACGGGGCCAAAAACUUGUUGGUUAAUUUCUAUAAGCAACUAUUAUCAAUAUCAAUGUGCAAGUAUACACAACUAGUAAUAAAAUGAUGAGUAUUCAAGAUCAUCUCCACAGGGAUUAAUGUUACUCAAAAUGCUAAAGCAACUCACAAUAAUGCAAAUCAAUUAAGGACUUAAACAAACAAUUGUUGAAUAAUUCUAUGUAACUAAUAGUUGAAAAUAAAACAAUACUGUAAUGAAAUAAACUGAGUUGAAUGUGUCUAAGAUUCAAUUGAGAAUAUAGUGGUUGAAUUAUCAAACUCUCCUAAUGGGAUUACUAUUGUUUACCAAAUUAGUACCAGUUGUUACAAUAAGUGUUGCAGCAAUGGGUAGAAUAAAUUUGCAUCCGCAGCCAUCGCAUGUUGGAAAUCUCAUACCUUUACAUCUACUAACAAUGACCAGUUGCUCAUAUAUUUAUGGUAUGACAUUAUAACCUUUAAUCUCUCUACCCUACAAGGUGAACACCUAUGUUUAGAGUGUCACAAAUCUUAACUUCAAGUAUUGCCCUUAUGAGAUUCAAGAUAACCUAAUCCAGGAAACUCGACUUAAGAACAAGUAAUACUCUAAUAAUGUCCGCUAAGACAUGCCCUUUUGCUGCUCUAUCUUAACUGAAACUAUUAAAUGGGUGGUCAACCGAAAUAACAGUUGUAUUCAUAAAAACUACUAGAGUAUAAUACUACAGCAUUACCAUAACAACAUAAAAGAACAGUCAAGAACCCAUUGGAUUAUUUGUCACUCAACCACAAGUAAACUUAGUUCAUAAUCUGGAUGAGAAAACUAAACACAAAUAUAUUGGUCUCGGAAUACAUCAAAUCAAUUAAAGGAAAAAGAUACAUAUAAGUUGAGCACAAUGAAAAUCAAAGUCAAGUAAUUCUACCCGAUUGUCCAAUGUUGCCGUAACAAUACUCUUUAAUUCUGAUCUUCUUCUCCUUCGUUCCUUCUAAUUACUCUAAUGUUAAUUCCUUGCUGCAUUUCUAUGUGGUGCACGCCUCCUUUUUAUAUUGUAAAUUAGUUAAAACUAAAGCCCAUGAGCGUGCAUGUGUUUAAAUUAGGAAACAUGCAGAUCGCGACUUUAGGGCUGACUCGCGCCUAAAUUUUCUCCCGCACUAAUCCAAAUUGCUACAGCACUGGUUGCUCUAACAGCCGCUACAACAUUGUUUUAUUCCUGAUUGUGCUUUACUUCUUUUGUGGCCAUCUUCCUUCCUCCUCUUGCUCUUCUAAUGCCUCAACAUCCUCUCACGAAUUUAAAACCUAUUUUUAGCACAAAUUACUAUGAUUCAAUCAAAACUUAUUAAAACUCAACUAAAAUGAAUGUUUAUGCAAAAGGUACCCAAAAUGUAAUAAAAACACCUUAUUUGUUCUCUAAGUGACCUUGAUUCAAGUCUUAAAUUGAUGUAAUAACUCUCAUUUCCUAGAGUUAUCAGCAAACCCACACAAAUAAUAAGAAGAAAUUGUAUUUAUCUACAUAGGACAUUUCAUAUGCUCAUGGAGUUUUAAUCUUCGAGUCUUUUUCACAUCAAGUCUUCUUCAUAUCAAGUUUUUCAUUUGACAUUCUUUGAAGUUUAUUUUGGUCUCUUCGGGAUGAAGGGAUCAAUUGUUUUAUUGAGGGAAUUUAAAGGAAGUAGGAAAUACAAUUGAAGAUGAGUAGUGCCUGCUAAGCAAGGUCAAUUGAGUUAGAUUCAACAAAAUGGUAGCAAGAGUAAGAGGAGUCUGAAAUUGUGUAAGAAUUCAAUAGACUGUAAUCUUUUCAAACUUAACGAACUGCUUAAUGCUUAGGCAUGGCUCUGUGGACAUAUGAUUGUGAUCUAAACAAUGUAAAAAUCCUCUACUUGCUUUAUUUUCUGCAAUUUACUGUUUCUAACAUAUUUGAUAGAUUUAAGGUGAAUCAACACUAAUGUAAGUUGUGCUAUAAAUAGUAAUGAUGAAUAGCACCUGUAAAAGGUGACUCAAAUGUUGUAUCAUAUGAAGAGUAACUAUAUACAGUGGCUCAUGUGAAGUAUCAUAUAAACAGUGAAUUGUAUACAGUAUUAUAUGAACAUUAACUUGUAACCAGUGAUUUUAGAAUUAAUUACUUAGCAUAAUUAAUUUUUCUAAUUUUCUUAUACUUGUUAAAGUAGAUCUAAAUUCUUAACAAGUGAUGUCAUUAAUAGUUUGUUUGGUGAAAUUUUAUGAUCUUGGUAUAUUUUUAUAGGUUUUGUAGAGAAGGGGAUUUGUUACUCGUCUACCAUUACUUGACAGCACAAUGAUUCUUAUUAUAAGCAAAGAGUGAGUAUUUACAUUGAGAACAUUGACGUAAGAGCAAUGAAUUGUGUUAGAGAAGGCUAUUCUGAUCAAGAUGGAAACGUGAUUCUUGAGCCUGUCAAUGAGUGCUCUAAUGCUGAAAUUCAACAUCCGACUUUAAUUCCGAGAUGCUCAAUGCUAUUGUCAAUGAAAAAGACAUCAAUUGACAUGAAUUAAUCUCUACAUGUACUGUUACUAAGGAAGCUUGGGACACUCUUCCAAACAUUCAUGAAAGAGAUAAUUUGAUAGAACAUUCUAAAUUUCAAAACAUUUCAACUGAGUUUGAAAAUAUUAAGAUGAAUUAAUAGAAAGAAAUUGAUAUUUCUGAUACUAAAUUUCUUAAGAUUGCUAAUACUUUGUAUUCUCUUGUAAAAGUUGUAGCUAUUGAAGAAUACUAUGAUAUUAGCAGAAUGACUGGAAAUCAAGUGGUUAGUAAACUUCAAACUUAUGAGUCGAGUCACUUAAAGAAGAAGGAAGAAAAAAAUAUUGCUUUUCAAGCUGAGAUAUAGAACUCAGAGAAUGAUGAUAUUGAGGAUAGUACUGGUGAUGAUAUGAAAUAUUUAGUAGAUAAUGUUGAUGAUGAUGUGAAAGAUUUAGUCCAUGGAUUAUUAACUAAGAAGUUUGAGAAGAUGGUGCUGAAAAAACAACAACAAAAAAAUUUAUCUAAACUACAACUUACACCAAAGAGUGAGCUUUCUCCUAAUUUUAAUUUUUUUUAAAGUAAGAAGGAUCUAAUAUUCAAUAUAGGGCAUGUGAUGGAAUGCCCUAAUUACAUCCUGAAAAAAAAAAAAAGCAAAUGUAAAAGCUUGGAGUGAUGAUAUUUUCAAUAAAAGCACUAAUUAUGAAAAUAUUGUUGGUGGGCUUGUUGUUCAUGAUAAGAAGUUGAGAAUUCAAAUUCUAAUGAUGAAAGAUCAAAACCACUUGAUGUUUCUGAUGGUUGUCGAAGCCAACAAAAAUAAAUUCCUACUCUAAAUAAAUUAUGUAUAGUGAUUGAGUAGGGUUGUGUCCACAGAGAUCGGUAAUUAUUUAAAUCCUUUUGAAACGUAAAACGUAAAAUGAGGGAAUUGUUGACAAUAAUAAAAAUCAAAUUAAAAUAACAAGAAUGCAAAUUAAAGUUGUAAUUCAAAUUAGAGAAAGCUCUGGUUGAAGGAAUUAACUCAGCUUGAUUCGACUACUGAUCAUUGAUUCAAAUAUAGAUUAUUAUUACUUACGAAUAGACCGGUUAUAGCUACUGAGACCCUCUAAUAGCCAAUCUCUCCUUAACUAGUCGAUAACCAAGGUACGACCGUUGGUUAUUUCCCUAAUCAAUAGACAACCCUAGAUACGAUCAUAUGAUUUAAUCAAUUGAUCGCGUGAAAAACCAGAGAGACCCAAAUCCUAAUCAACACAUAUGAUGAUUCAUUUAAAUUAGAUUGUUUAUUCUCACAACACAACUCUCUGCUAUGUUAUUUGUCACAAACAUUAAAUUCUUCAUACGAUGAAUCCUUUAAUUAACAAUAGAUUAAGUUGAUAAUUAAAUAGUGGCCAAUUACCUAAUUAACAAACAUAAUCAUGAAAAUAAUUCAGAGAAUAAAUAAAUACCCAAAAAGCAAUAAAACAAUUAAAGCACAAGAAAGAUCUCACAAUAUUGAUGAAUCAAAGCUGCAUUAACAUUCAACCAGAAAAAUAGGUUUAGUUUUUCAUAGAGAGAAGAGAAAAGUUUAGAUUUAGGGUUUCUUUCUUUUCUCCCAUCCCCCUUUUUCACAAUAGAUUCCUCUUAAAUACUCUCUCUCUCUUCUCCUUUAGAAUUCUAUUUAAAAUAAAAUACUAAUAUCUGAAAUAUUAAAUUCGUAAUUACAAAAAUAACCAAAAAUACAAAACACGUUAAACUAAAAACUGCAGGUCCAUAGUUGACAGCACGCGCCCACGCCUUAUCAACAAAGUUCUUCUGACGCUCAUAAUUUCUCCAAGAGAACAAUCAUCUUUAAACAUCAUCUUAUAGCUCAAUUUUAUUACAAAUCAAUAGAAUUGCACCUACAAAAGUAAAACACAAGUAAAUCAUUAUUAUUAAGUGCAAAACAUCGAUAUUAAGGGAAGUAAACAAUGCAAAACUAGUGCAUAAAUUUCACUCUAACAAAUUCCCCCACACCAAGAUGAUGCUUGUCCUCAAGCAUAUAACUCAAGAUUAAUCCCAAAGCUCCACUCAAUUCUCAUCUCAACUUAUCCAAAAACAAUUUUAAGCAAGUAUACCUCAAGAAAUUAAGUCGAUCAACAUUCGAGAGACAAGGAUUUUAAAGCAUAGAAUCUCAUAAGAUAAAUUAAGAACAUUCAACCACCAAGAAGAUCCAUUCAAAAUUCAAGUGCAACAAGAUUUAAUAGCCCUCUCAUUGACUUCACUCCAUGCACUCAAAGUGUUUAGGGUGUCAUUUAUUCACUCAAAUCAAAUCAAAGAAUGCUAUUACCAUAAGCUUGCUUAUAUAUCAUAUCUCAAUCCACAAAACAUGAAUUAAAUGCAAAAAUCUAAGGGUCUUAAAAGGUUGUAACAUGGUUAAAUAGGUUAAUUGAAAAAGAAAGGUUUAUGAAAGAAAAAGAGAUCAAAAUGAGAAGAAUGAACUCAUUGAACGAACUUUAUGAUAUCGAAACACUUAUUUCUACUCAAGUCACCAAGAAUGUAAACAUUUUUUUUCUUUUUUUUCGAUUUUUUCUUUUUCUUUUUUUUUCUUUUUCCUUUUUUUUUUUAUCAAACAAAAGAAACGAACCUUGCACAAUUUAAUUCAAGCAUAAUGCUUGUUGAUCUAAUUGAGAAACUUUAAUACAAGGUAGAAAAAGCAACAAAAUAUAUCCACACAAUGAGUCCAAAAAUCUCAUUAAAUUGAGGCUCAAAAAGAAGAAAAAUGGUUAAGUAGAUGGAGAGAAUUAGAUGGGUAAUGUUUAAGGCUCAAACAAAGAUAGUAAAUCAAGGUCUUCGGGUAGAGAAAAAAAAAUGCGAGAAUAGAAAAAUGGUAAAUGGUUUGCCCUUAUCAUUUUAAUGCAAAAAAUCCCGUAAUGUGGCUUCAACAUGCAUAACAAAGCAAGUUCUAGAAUAAACAAACUAAGAUUGAUAUUCACAUAAUAAAAAUAAUUAGAGCAAAGUGGUUGCUCAUAGGCUCAAAUCCUCACAAAGUUGGUAAAUUUGCCAUCAAAUCAUAUACACUCUUCAAAUGAAUCAACCAUCAAUAGUGGUGUAGAAUGAGAAGAAGGUAUGAGUGAAGAAAAGGUAAAAAUGAUAAGAAGUGAGAAAGAUGUAUGUAGUAAUAUGAAAAGUGAAAGAUAAAAUGUGAGUGAUGAAAGAGUAUGAUAGAAUAAAAAUAGAUGUAAAUAAUUUGAGAUAGAUGGGAAAAGAGUAGUGAGAAAGAAAAGAAAAGAAAAAUAAUAAUAUAUGAAGCAUACUAACUCCAAAAUCAUUUAAGGAUGAGUAGAGUGAAAAUAGAUGAGUAGAGUGAAAACAAUAAUUCCAGACAUCAAUAAUGCAAAAAUCCCUCCCCCACACCAAGAACUUACAUUGUCCCCAAUGUAAGAUAAUUAAAGCUCACAUAAAAAUUAAAGCGUAAGGAUAAAAGAUUAAGGGCAAAAAGAAACUUCCUUGAAUUGUGAGCUUUGAUCCACAUAACGUCUAUGGGCUUGGCGAAAAUGGUGGGGUAAAUCCCACACUCUCGAAGUAUGCGGCCAAAUUCUGCUCUAUCUUGUUCAGCUUGUGCUCCAUUUUCUCUAACUGAAUGCUCAAAGGUGGUGCGGAUGUAGAAGGAAUAGUUGGCGAGGCAGCAGUGUCGUCGUCAAACUCGUCAUCAGAGGUAGCACCACUCCUAGCAUAAAGCUUCUUCGGAAGUUGAAUGGGUCCUGGUUCAGUAAACUGAAAUCUCCCCUCCUUGAAUUCGACCACACCUGUUCUUUCAAACACAGACAUAUCCAAAAAUUCCUUUUUGCAAGCAGGAUGCAAAUCAUUAUUGUCGGGAUCAAGCACACAUAGGUUUAUAGCUAACAGAGUAAUGUAUGGACCAAGAAAUAAAGUCCUAUACCGUUUAAGCACACUUUGAAAUUGAUCCGCUAACCAAAAACUUAAAUUAGGCCUCACAUCAUUUAACAUGCACCAGAUAAAAUAAAAUUCAGUUUUAGAGAAAAUUUCUGAGUGAUCUUUCUUGCCUAAAAAAUUAUAUGCUAAGAAUCAAUGCACACAUUUCAAAGCAGGAUCACGUAAGAAAGAACUAUUUGAUUUACUCGGGUCAUAGGCAUUGUGAUCAACAGAUAAAUUACGCCAAAGACCAUAAGGCUCAAAAUUUUUGCCAAAGUCACAAGUUGUUCCUAAAUAUUCAUCACUAGUAGAAUAAUCAUCAUCAAUGAAUCCUAAAGCUAGGUUAAAAUUCGUGAUAGAGUGUGAAAAAUUUCGUCCCAUUAACCUAAACUUAAUGACAUCCGGGGUCUGCAAAGUAAAAUCAUUCGGCAUAGUAAAUUGAAAAGUAGCAUAAAACUCCCUAAUCAACUCAACAUAACCCAAGCAAUCAACAUCAACAAACUUACGCAACCCAAUCUUAUCUAUCAAAGAAUCAAAAUUAUCCUUAACAUUCAAUUUUUCAAGAGUCGGGUAAUGAAUAUACUUAGCUGGAAGUAUUUUGCACGUGGAAAUAUCUUUGUACCUCUCUUUCUCUUGUUGAGUCGCGAAUGCGAGGCACCCUCCGAGAUUGGAUUCCGCAAGUGGCAAAACACUCAUGCCUUUUCCAUGCUUCGAUCUUUGUCUCACGGCUUGGCGUGAAUCUGAAAUUGUGUUCCAUGGAACCGUAGUGGGAGCGGCAAUCUUAGAUUUCUUUGUGACGGGUGUCUUUUUCGAUGACUUGGAGGUAGAUGCUUUCCUCGUCGGCAUUGUUACAAUAAUUGCACUCACGGAUUUCAAUUUACCCGACUGGAAUACAGGGCGUAGGCUGGUUGCUUUGCGUUGCUACUCGACUGGAGCUUGUUGCGCGGGUUGGAGCUGGUUGCGUUGCGCGAUGCUACGCAGGUUGGGUUGCGGCUGCUCGUCUGUUGCUGCUCAGCUAGGUUGCGUGCACGAGACUGAUGCGCUGCGCGAUGGUGAUGGCUGGAUUGAUUUGCGCUGCGCGCGCGGGCUAGAGCUGCGGAUCUGCGUUGCGGGGCGUGCUCGUCUGCUGUGCGUUGGGGCUGCGUUGUGCGCUGGUGGGGCUGCAUUGCGCGCUGGUGGGACUUCGUUGCGCGCUGCUGGGCUGCGAGACACGGGAUGCUGGUGCUGCGUUCGCGGGAUGGUGGUCGAUGCUGGUGCUGCGCACGCACGGUGGUGCGUUUUCCGACGGGCUGCUUUGCUGCUGGUGUGCUGCAAGCGGCUGGAGAAGAAAACAAGUUCUGAAAAAUUAGGGAUUUUGUGAACAGUAAAAUUUUUUUUUUUUUUAACUGUGAUUUUUUGGAUUUUUUUUAUAAAUAAAUAAAUAUAUAAAAGAAAGAACAAAAGAAAAUCUCUUUUUUUUCGUUUUUAAAAAAUAAAUAAAUAAAUAGAAAAAAAUAAUAAUAAAUAAAUAAUUGUUUUGUUUUGUUUUUGUGAUGAAUCACUUUGAGACACCAAAAAUUUCAGAAGUACUUUUUUAAUAAGCACGUGGGCACGCCUUAAAAUCAUUUUACUUUAAAAAUCACAGAAGUACUUAUUAGUUAAGACGUGAGCACGCCUUAUCAAAAAUUUUCUUCUGACCAAAAUAAGCAAACACAUUAAAAAAAAUGAAUCAAAAUUAAAAGAAGAUAUAACAAAAACCAAAAUAAAUAAAUCAUUUGGGUUGCCUCCCAAAAAGCGCCUUUGUUUUAUGUCUUUAGCUAGACACAUUUAUGCAUCAAUCUCCAUAAUUGGGACUCUCGAGAGCCACAUCCUCCACAAUAUUCACCGAAAAACCUUCAUAAAAAGGUUUUAAGCGAUGACCAUUAACCUUAAAAACUUUGUCAGAGGUCGAACUCCGAAUCUCAACUGCACCAUGAGGAAAAACAUUAGUAGCAAUAAAAGGUCCAACCCAGCAGUAACGUAAUUUACCCGGAAAAAGUUUAAGCUUAGAAUGAAAAAGAAGAACUUUUUGACCAACAGAGAACUCCUUUUUCAAAAUCAUUUUAUCAUGAAAUGUCUUCGUUUUUUCCUUGUAAAUAACUUCCUGCACUAUAGGGUUAAUAACAUCCACAGAAAAUACCGAAUGUUCCUCACUAGGAUAUUUCAUGGCAUCAUUCAUAUUGAAUUCUAUAACCUCUCCAUCAAACUCCAUAGUGAGAGUCCCUUUAUGUACAUCCAUUUUAGUCCUAGCAGUCUUAAGAAAAGGUCUUCCUAGCAAAAUUGAGACAAAAUUAGAGGAGUUAUCCUCUUCCAUAUCAAGUACAUAAAAGUCAGCAGGAAAAACCAACUCAUUAACUUGUACUAAGACAUCUUCUAAUACCCCAUCAGGAUAUGCAUUAGACCUAUCAGCUAGUUGAAUUAUCACACCAGUUUCUUUUAAUGGACCAACAUUCAAAGAUGAAUAAAUGGAACGAAGCAUGACAUUAAUAGAAGCUCCUAGAUCUAACAAAGCUUUUUCAAUUCUAACACUACCAAUUUUACAAGGGAUAGUAAACAUACCUGGAUCCUUGCACUUAGGAGGUAGUUUCUUUUGGAGAACUGCUGAAACAUUCUCCCCCAUGUGAACUUUUUCAUCUCCUCUUAAUUUUCUCUUAGAGGUGCGCAGUUCCUUAAGGACUUUAGCAUAUCGAGGUAUUUGUUUUAUAGCAUCUAAUAAAGGAAUAUUUACCUCAACCUUGCGAAAUGUCUCAAGGAUGUCUUUCUCUUGUUCCUCCUUCUUGGAUUUUGCAAACCGGCUUGGAAAAGGAGGAGGUAUCACAAUAGGUAGGGGUUUCGCUCUGGUGGGUUGCGCAUCUUGAGAUUUAGGCAUCAAUUCAUUCUUCUCAAGCUCAUCUUCUACAUGCUUUGUCACUUUCUUACUAGGCUCUUGCAACUCAUUCCCACUUCUAAGGAUGACAGCACUAACGUUUUGCUUUGGAUUCACCUCAGAUUGUGAAGGUAACCUCCCUAAUACUUGAGACUCCAGACGGCUCACUGUAGUCGCCAAUUGACUCAUUUGGUUCUCCAAAUUCUGAAUGCUUGUUGUAGUUGCCUGCUGAAAUUGUUGAGUGUUAGUCGCAAGUGAUUUAACAAUUUCUUCAAGAGAUAUAUCUGACUUAGAGUUUGAUUGUGGAGGUGCUAGUUGUCUUGGUGGAUACUGUUGUGAGAAUCCUGACGGCCUAACUCCAUAGCUAAAGUUGGGGUGAUCCUUCCAUCCCGGAUUGUAUGUUUGUGCAUAAGGAUCAUACCUCCUCUGAGGCAUGCCUGGAAAUCCUCCAACUGCAUUGGCUUGUUCAACGGAUUCUUCUUGAAGUGUAGGACACAUAUCAGUUGAAUGACCCAUAUUGUAACAAAUGCCACAAGUCUUCACCUGUUGCACAUUACCUACAACAAACUUUUCCACAAGAGAAGUAAGUUUAUCUAAACGUUGUUCAACAGAAGAAAUAUUUACCUCAUUCACCUUCCUUGAAGUGAGAUCUUGCCUGCUGCCAAAUUGUUGUGCGUUGGCAGCCAUAUUUGAUAUCAGCUCCCUUGCUUGAGUAGGGGUCUUGUUCACCAACACGCCUCCACUAGCAGCAUCUAUCAUACUCCUAUCCAUUAAUGACAGUCCUUCGUAAAAAUAUUGAAUAAGAAGUUGAUCAGAAAUCUGAUGUUGAGGACAGUUGGCACACAAUUGUUUGAAUCGCUCCCAAUACUCAUACAAAGUCUCCCCAGGAAGUUGUCGGAUCCCACAAAUAUCUUUUCUGAUGUUGGCAGCUCUUGAAGCAGGAAAGUACUUCUCGAGGAACUGUCUCUUCAAACCAUUCCACGUUGUAAUCGAUCCAGGAGGCAAGUAGUACAACCAGUCUUUAGCUAGCCCAUCUACAGAGAAUGGAAAAGCACGCAGCUUAAUCUGCUCUUCAGUCACGCCUUGUGGCCUCAUACUUGAACAUACAACAUGAAACUCCUUAAGAUGUUUAUGAGGAUCUUCACCUGCAAAACCAUGAAACUUGGGUAAUAAAUGAAUAAGACCAGACUUUAAUUCAAAAUUUACCUCCAAGUCUACAUAUUGAAUGCAGAAUGGUUGCUGAUUCAAGUCUGGUUCAGCCAACUCUCUAAGAGUUCUUUCUAUAGGUGCAGCUCUAUCCAUCACUUGUUCUUCCGAAUCGCUAGAUGAUUGAACUAAAUCAGGCACCGUAUCUGUUUCAGAAAGCAAAGGUGAUGAGGAUCGUUGCUUAGCUCGCUUCGUCUGUUGUCUCAGCUGGCGAGCUGUCUUCUCAAUUUCAGGAUCAAACGAAAGUGUACCUGUACGAGAAGAACGAACCAUACACCAAGUAAAACGUAAAAAGGAUUAAAUAAAUGACACCAAUCCCCGGCAACGGCGCCAAAAUUUGAUGGUUGUCGAAGCCAACAAAAAUAAAUUCCUACUCUAAAUAAAUUAUGUAUAGUGAUUGAGUAGGGUCGUGUCCACAGAGAUCGGUAAUUAUUUAAAUCCUUUUGAAACGUAAAACGUAAAAUGAGGGAAUUGUUGACAAUAAUAAAAAUCAAAUUAAAAUAACAAGAAUGCAAAUUAAAGUUGUAAUUCAAAUUAGAGAAAGCUCUGGUUGAAGGAAUUAACUCAGCUUGAUUCGACUACUGAUCAUUGAUUCAAAUAUAGAUUGUUAUUACUUAUGAAUAGACCGGUUAUAGCUACUGAGACCCUCUAAUAGCCAAUCUCUCCUUAACUAGUCGAUAACCAAGGUACGACCGUUGGUUAUUUCCCUAAUCAAUAGACAACCCUAGAUACGAUCAUAUGAUUUAAUCAAUUGACAGCCUGAAAAACCAGAGAGACCCAAAUCCUAAUCAACACAUGAUGAUUCAUUUAAAUUAGAUUGUUUAUUCUCACAACACAACUCUCUGCUAUGUUAUUUGUCACAAACAUUAAAUUCUUCAUACGAUGAAUCCUUUAAUUAACAAUAGAUUAAGUUGAUAAUUAAAUAGUGGCCAAUUACCUAAUUAACAAACAUAAUCAUGAAAAUAAUUCAGAGAAUAAACAAAUACCCAAAAAGCAAUAAAACAAUUAAAGCACAAGAAAGAUCUCACAGUAGUGAUGAAUCAAAGCUGCAUUAACCUUCAACCAGAAAAAUAGGUUUAGUUUUUCAUAGAGAGAAGAGAAAAGUUUAGAUCUAGAGUUUCUUUCUUUUCUCUCAUCCCCCUUUUUCACAAUAGAUUCCUCUCUUAAAUACUCUCUCUCUCUUCUCCUUUAGAAUUCUAUUUAAAAUAAAAUACUAAUAUCUGAAAUAUUAAAUUCGUAAUUACAAAAAUAACCAAAAAUACAAAACACGUUAAACUAAAAACUGCAGGUCCGUAGUUGACAGCACGCGCCCACGCCUUAUCAACAAAGUUCUUCUGACGCUCAUAAUUUCUCCAAGAGAACAAUCAUCUUUAAACAUCAUCUUAUAGCUCAAUUUUAUCACAAAUCAAUAGAAUUGCACCUACAAAAGUAAAACACAAGUAAAUCAUUAUUAUUAAGUGCAAAACAUCGAUAUUAAGGGAAGUAAACAAUGCAAAACUAGUGCAUAAAUUGCACUCUAACAGUUUCUCUCCCAUUAAUAUAUGAAUUCUUCCUCAUAAUUCUAUUAAAACUUCAAGUGUGAAGUCAAGUGAUGAAGAAUCAAUUUCAAAAAUUCAAAAGUAGUUAUAAUGAUGAUGCUAUUAUUAGAUCAAUGAAUGAAGCAUAUCAUUCCAUGUAUUUUAAAUGGGUAAGAAUAGGUAAAAGAUCAAGAAACACAAGCUCAGUUAUUAGAUAUUUUAAUUGAAAAGUUGAGUUACAAAGUGAUGCAAUUAAUCGCCAAAACUUUGUUCUUGGAAAAGAAGAAAAGUUUCGAUUGAGUUGCAAAGUACUCAUAAAUCUUUGAGAAUAAUGAAUUUUAGAACAAAGCUAUUUGAUCAAAUUUUGACCAUGGGAAAAGCUAGUUCAGAUUAUCAUGUUUUAUAUAUCAAAAUGGAAUUACUUCAUGCUCAAACAUUGUCUUGGUCAAAACCUUACCACUGAAGACAAUAUUACCAUAACCGACAAGAAAACUCCUUAAUACGUUGAAAGGCAAAUCUGUGUCACAUUUUGCGUCAAGUUUACGUGGUAAGUAAGAAAGGUUUAUUCCUACUUUUUACUUGUGUCAUAUUAAAGGAUAUAUUAUUCCUAUAUGCUUUAAGUUCAUGAAUUAUAUAAAGAAAGUUAUGUCAUCGAAUGUUUCUUCUUAGGGUAAAUCUAAAUAUACUCCUAAAACUAAAUAUUACUAGACUAACCUAGAUUAGGAAAUUUAAAUUAAAAGCAUAUGUGUCAUUUACAUCUUUGCGAGGUUGUAUUACUAAUUUCUUAUAUUUUGAUAGUGAUUGUUCUAGACGCAUGAUUAGUGAUCGUAGUGCACUAAUAAAUUAUAAAGAAUGUGGUCGAGAAUAUGUAACAUUUACUGAUGGUAUUAAAAGGAGAUAGGUUGGAAAAGGGACUUUAAAUGUUGAAGGCUUUUCUUUACUUGAAAACGUUUUGCAUAUUGAAUAUUUGAAAGCUAAACUUUUGAGUAUUAGUCAAAUUUGUGAUCAAAUUAAAUUUUGAUAGCAAUAAACUUCAAGUAUUUAAUAACAAGAGUAACAAUAUACUUGAGGGAACUAGAUAAUCUAAUCAUUGUUAUAAAUUGAUUCAAUCUAUAGCUUAGCAUAAAGAUUGUAUUGAUGAGACUGAAAUAUUACACUAAAAUCUUGGUCAUUUGAAUUACAAGUUAUUGACUAACUUGUGAACAACCUGGCGUUUGUGAUUCUUGUCAAUUCGGCAAACAAUAAAGAACAUCUCACAAAAUUGUACAACAUAUCACACAUCUAAGGUACUUGAUUUACUCCAUAUGAAUCUAAUUGACUAAUUAGAUCUAUAGAUGAUUUUUUAAGAUAUACAUUAGUUGAUUUUAUUAGAGAAAAAUUUGAUACUUUUGAUGUGUUUAAAAGGGCAAUUAUCCAUCGAUCACCUAUUUGUUCACACUUUUUCAAAAAUGCACAAUUCUUAACUUUUUUUUGAAAAACUCCACUCGAAAUUAUAUUAUUUUGCACAUGUUCACUUUCGUCUUCAAACUGUUAAGAGAACUAACAGAAUAUUGUGUAAAUGACUUUUUUACCCCCAAAUGUAAAAGGACAACUAUCCACCAACUACCUUUUUUCGCAUUUUUUUGACAAAUACACAAUUCUUAAUUUUUUUUUCUGAACUCCACUUGAACUUAUAUUAUUUUGCACCUGUCCACUUCUGUCUUCAAACAAUGUCGUUGUGAAAUGACAAUUUUACCCUUAUAAUGUCAGCAAAAUUCUAACAGUAUUAUAACCGAAGUAGACAAAUGAAAAAAAUGUUAACUUCAGGUGGAGCGCUGCCAAAAAAAAAAUUGCGUAUUUUUACAAAAGCUAGAAACAACAGGUGGUCGGUGGAUAAUUACUGAUUAACACUGAAAAGUGUACAUUUUAUAAGGAUAAAAUUAUUAGUUUUUCACUUAUUGUGUCGAUUAAUGCGCUCUUUAUUUCUAAAUUAUCUUAAUACUCCCCAAAUAUAUUUCUAUGUUAAAUUAAUUCACAAUAUGUUAAUUUUUAUCUUGUAAAUAUUUUUCAGGAAUAAAGAUGAAAUUGGAAUUAAAAGCGGAAACAAAGAAGGAUUGCUGGAGCAAUUUGGAAUGCAUCAUUAAGGAGAUAUAGUAAAUAAUAAUAAAUAAAUAAAAUAUAUGUAUAUAUAAUAUAAAAAUAAAAUAAAAUAUUAAUAUUAAUAAAAGAAAAGAAAAGAAAAGAAGAUGCUUCCCUUGCCUAUAAAAGGAAAGGGGAUGCAAGCGGGGGAGGAGGAGUUGAGCCGAGCUGAGAGAGAGAGUGAUAGCCAAGAGUUUAGCUGAAGAAUUUCCUUCUUUCUUUCUUUUCUUUUCUUGUUUCUGUAUGUAUUAAUUCUUCUUGUAACAUAUUUCAAAAGUUUAUCAAAUAAAAAGAGUGUUGUGUUUUCUUUCAAAAUGAGUGACUAAUUUUAUUAAGCUGAGGUGAAGGGUGAAGCUCAAAGUUUCAAACUAUUAAAUUUAUUACUUUCUCAAAGUGAGUUUUUAAGUUUAUUUUAUUCUUUUCUGGUUAUUUUCAUGUCAUGUUAAUUUAUAGAUUCUCUUGGAUCUAUAUGGUAUUUUGAUAUAAUAUCGACACAUUAAUACAGUUAUGGCACAUUAGGUACUUUAUUCUAUAUUUAUCCACACACAUAGAAUUAAAUGAUAUAAAAAUUAACUAGUAAAAGUGAGGUAAAAUCUAAAAAAUAGAGAAUAUUAAAAUUAUAGUUUGAAGAAAUGAGAGUGGAUCCCAUAACCUUAGUAUAUUUUUAAAUUGUUUUCUAGUGAUUGCUUUUCCCAUAAUUAAUUUUCUUUGUUUUAAAUUGACCACUAGAUUUUUAAAUUCCCGACCCCGGACUCACCGGGUUAUAGUUUAACUAGACACUCUUAUACUUGGGAGUAAUACACUUUUAAAUCGUGUCAAGUUUUUAGCAUCGUUGUCAAUGAGUUUUCUAAAUUUGGUAUUAAUUUAUCUUUAUUUUACUUUAUUUUUAUUUUAUUUUAUUUUUUUUGUCAUUACUAUCUUUCUGUGAUUCUAUUUUAUUUUCUUUUUGAAAAACUUCAGUUAACACCCCUCAUCUCUUCAAACUUUAACAUUAUCCAUAAAAUUUGUGAGAAACUUCAUUUAAGCCCAGAAAAUUUUACAAAUCAGUCCUCAAACCAACUUUUUUUUCUUUAAAUUUCUGCAAUUUACUUUUCGCACUUAUUUUAAAUGGUCGGUUCAACCGCCUGAAUUGUUAUUUAAAUUUUGUUUAUAUGGUCGGUUCUACCGCAUAUCAUUUUAAUGUCAGUUUAUUUAUUCAUGUACAUUAAUUUAUUUAAUUUUUAUGCUUUAUUAUAUGGUUGGUUUUAAAAUACCGCCUAAACUGUUUAUUUUAAUUUCUUUGUUUAUGGCUGGUUUUAAAAUAUUGCCUAAUUUUUUGUUAAUUGUUUCCUUUAAUUACUUGCUUUUAUGGCUAGUUUAACCACCUAAUUUAUUUUUUAUUUAUUUUCAGUUUGUUUAUUUUUAUUUCGCAUUUUUGCUUAUUUAAUUUUAGUUUAUUUUCUGCAAUUUUCAUUUAUCGUUUUAUGCAUCAUUGGUUUUGCACACAUCAUUAGCAUUGCGUACGUUGUUGGUCUCGUACAAAUAGUGGCAAAUUAAUUAGGAGAUCACCUUCACAACCCUUAGAUAUGGCUGACAUAGGAGCUGGAAAUUUUUCAGAGCACGAAAAUGACCAAGGCUUACAAAAUCUUCAUGAACAGCCUAUGACCCUUAGAGACUUCAUGCAUCCUACUAGAACAAGGUCACCAUCAUGCAUAGUUUUUCCACCUGAUGCAUCACGUUUUAAUUUCAAAUCUGAUAUCAUUCAACUUCUUCCAACUUUUCAUGGUUUUGAGUAUGAAAAUCCAUAUUUGCAUUUAAGAGAAUUUGAGGAAGUCUGUAACACAUGUACUGAUCAAAAUUGUAGAAUAAAUAUAAUCAGGCUUAAGUUUUUCCCUUUCUCACUAAAGGAUAAAGCUACAACUUAGCUACAAAAUCUUAGGUCGGGAUCUAUCAGAACAUGGGAUGAAAUGCAAGCACAAUUUUUGAAAAAAUUCUUCUCACCCCAUAGAACAAAUUCUUUCAAAAGACAAAUCACAACCUUCAUUCAAAAACUAGGAGAAACCUUCUACCAAAGUUGGGAUAGGUUUAAAGAACUACUUAGCAUUUGCCCACACCACGGUUUUGAAACAUGGAGAUUAGUGUCUUAUUUCUACGAGGGAUCAACAUCCCAAGGUAGACAAGUCGUUGAAAUGAUGUGUAAUGGUGAGUUUAGGGAUAAAAGUCCUGAAGAUGCAUUAGAUUAUCUUGACUAUAUAUCAGAAAAUGCAUAACACUAGGAUACAGUUUGUUCUUAUGAGUCAUCAAGUAAACCUUAGUCAUCUCCAUCUGGUGGAGGCAUGCAUAACCUUAGGGAAGACCAUGAUUUUCAAGCCAAAUGUGCAUAUUUAACUAGAAAAGUCGAAGCAUUAAAGUCGAAAAAGAAUGAUCAUAUAAAGUCUAUUUAAAAUAUUUCAUGUUAUGUUUGUGAUUCUACUGACCAUUCUACGCAGGAUUGUCCAACUUUGCCAGCUCUGAGAGAAAGUUUGCAUGAACAAGUAAAUGUCAUUGACAAUUUCAAAAGGCCAAAUCUCAAUCCAUACUCCCAAACUUACAACCCUAGUUGGAGAAACCACCCAAAUUUCAGUUGGAGAAAUGAUAACCAUGCACAACCUUCACAACCAGUUCCUCCACGUCAAAUUUUCCAAAACCCCCAGAGUUACCCACCAUAUGUUCCACCACCAAGAAAAAACUCUGGAAGACACAUUGCAUUUGUUUAUUGAAAAACAAGAGUCGAUCAAUAACCAAACGAUGCAAACCUUAACCAAUUUGACAGAAACUAUCUCCAAACUUACAUCUGCUCUGACCAUGCAUGAAAAAGGAAAGUUUCUUGCCCAACCUAAACCAAACCCCAAAAGUCAACAACAUCCUCAAAUGGGAAAUUUAGGAAACUAAAAUAUGAGCAAGUCCAAUCGGUUAUAACCCUUCGUGGUGGUAAAGUUGUCGAAAAAUAUAUCUUGGACCUUGUAAAACUAGUAAAGAUUCAAUUUCAAAGAAUAUAGAAGAGUCUGUCGAACUUUUAAACCAUGAAGAAAUAACAAACUCUACUUAUGUACCCCCAUUUCCUCAAGCACUAAUCAAGCCAAAAAAAUCAAACCACAGUCCAGAAAUUUAUAAAGUUUUUAAACAAGUAAAGGUCAACAUUCCUCUACUGGAUGCCAUUAAACGAGUGCCUUCUAGUGAUAAAUUUCUGAAAGAUCUGUGCAUGGUGAAAAUGAAACAUAAGGUGCAAAAGAGAGCUUUUCUAGUAGAACAGGUAAGUUCAAUUCUCUCAACCAAUAGUGCUUUAAAAUAGAAGAAUCCUGGCUAUCCAACUAUUUCUUGUAUUAUUGGGGAUCAUAAAAUUGGACAUGCUUUACUUGAUCUUAGUGCCAAUGUUAAUUUGCUUCCUUACUAAUUGUACCAACAACUCAAUCUUGGUGAGUCAAAACCAACUUCUAUCACUCUUUUAUUUGCUCAUAGGUCGAUUAAGGUUCCAAAAGGAAUAAUUGAAGAUGUAUUAGUCCGAGUCGAUAAAUUCAUAUACCCUAUGGAUUUUAUUGUUUUAAAAAUGGAACCAAUUGUUAAUGAAUGCAAACAAAUUCCUGUUAUAUUGGGUCAACCAUUUUUAGCUACUGUUAAUGCUUUGAUUAAUUGCAGGAAUAGAGUAAUGAAUUUAUCUUUCAACAACAUGACAUUGGAACUCAAUGUGUUCGACAUGUAUAAACAACCUUACCACCAAGAAGAUGAUGAUAAUAAAAAUGAGGAGAUUGAUAUCAUCGAGCCAAUAAUUGAGGAACACAUUCAGGAUGAGAAUUUUACAAAUUUUGUGAAAAUUUGUUUUGCUGGUUCUUUUGAAUUAAGUAAGGAAUUAGAUUGUUAUACUGCUAACAUACGCCCUACACUUGAUUCUAUGCAGGUACCUACAGGUGACAAUGACUAAUCGAACUUUGAAGAUACGGUACAACCUGAAGAACCAAACGAAGAGGAAGCAUCAGAGCUCGAAUUAAAUCCCUUACUGGAAGAAUUGAAGUAUGCAUAUCUUGGAGAGCAGCAGACAUAUCCGGUGGUAAUUUCUUCCCAACACACGCAUGAUCAAGAAGGUAAGUUGUUGUCUAUACUAAAAAGGCAUAAAACUGCAUUUGGUUGGACAUUAAAAGACAUAAAAAACAUUAACCAUUCAAUUUGCACAGACCAAAUACACUUAGAGGAAAAUGCCAAAACAACAUGUCAACCACAAAGAAGACUAAAUUCUCAUAUGAAAGAAAUGGUAAGAAUGAGGUCUUUAAACUUCUAGAUGCAGGAAUUAUCUAUUCUUAAGAAUGAGGUCUUUAAACUUCUAGAUGCAGGAAUUAUCUAUUCUAUCUCUGAUAGUAAAUGGAUAAGUCCAACACAAGUAGUACCAAAGAAAUCUGGAAUAACCGUUGUAAAAAAUGAAAAAGGUGAACCAAUCCCAACACGAAUUCCAUCUAGUUGGCGCAUGUGCAUUGAUUACAGAAAAUUAAAUGAUGCCACUAGAAAAGACUAUUUUCCCCUUCCAUUCCUAGACCAAAUUCUCGAGAGAGUAGCUGGACAUCCCUACUACUAUUUUCAUUAUGGCUACUCUGGCUAUUAUCAAAUCCUUAUAGCCUUAGAAGACCAAGAAAAGACCACAUUCAUAUGCCUAUUUGGAACAUUUGCAUUUAGGAGAAUGCCUUUUGGACUUUGUAAUGCUCCUGCAACAUUUCAAAGGUGCAUGCUAAGCAUUUUUAGUGACAUGGUUGAAAAUUGUCGAGAGGUUUUUAUGGCUGAUUUAACUGUAUUUGGUAAUUAUUUUGACACAUUUCUUGAUAAUCUAGAAAGCGUUUUGGAAAGGUGUAAAGAAAAAAGAUUAGUUUUAAAUUGAAAAAAAUGUCAUUUCAUGACCACUUUUGGAAUUGUCUUGGGCCAUGUUGUGUCUUCAAAAGGAAUUGAGGUUGACAAAACCAAAGUUUAAGUCAUUUUAAAAUUACCCUCACCAAAGAUAAUUAGAGAAGUUCGUUCAUUUUUAGGACAUGCAGGAUUUUAUAGGAGGUUUAUAAAAGAUUUUAGUGUCAUAUCUAGACCACUUUGUAACCUCCUAAAAAAAGACACAUUUUGAAAGAAUAACUACUCUUUUGACAUCAGCCCCAAUAAUGCAACCCCCUGAUUGGUCUUUACCUAUUGAGCUAAUGUGUGAUGCUAGUGAUUAUGUUGUUGGUGUUGUUCUGGGACAAAGAAAGGAAGGUAAGCCCUUUGACAUCUAUUAUACAAGUAGAACUUUGAAUAAUGCUCAAAUGAAUUACACUACAACUGAGAAAGAGCUACUUACUGUAAUAUUUGCAUUAGAUAAAUUUCGUUCGUAUUUAAUUGGUUCAUCUACUAUUGUUUAUUUUGAUCAUGCUGUUGUGAGAUAUUUAAUGUCAAAACAGGAUGCUAAACUAAGGUUGAUACGAUGGAUUUUGCUACUUAAAGAAUUUAACUUGACAAUCAAGGACAAAAAGGGCACCGAAAAUGUUGUUGCAUAUAAUCUUUCAAGACUUACAAAUGAGUUUUCAAUUGAAACAACACUCAUCAAUGAUUCUUUCCCUGAUGAAUUUUUAUUUUCUAUAAACAAAAUGCCUUGGUAUGCUAACGUUGUUAAUUAUCUUGCAACAGGUGAAAUGUCAUGUGACUGGAGUUCCCAAGACAAGAAAUUCUUAACAAAAGUGAAAAGUUUUUACUGGGAUGAUCUAUACCUAUUCAAGUACUGCUCUGAUCAAAAUUUUCGAAGAUGCUGACCAGACGAUGAGGUAAGUAGGGUCAUUCAAUUUUUUUCAUUUUGAAGCAUGCGGUGACCAUUUUUCUUUAAAAAAGACAGUUGCAAAAAUAUUGCAGUGUGGAUUUUAUUGGCCUAUAUGAUUUAAAAAUUCACAUGCAUUCUGCAAAUUGUGUAAGAAUUGUCAAAUGGUAUAGUCUAUUUCAAAGCAAAACAUGAUGCCUUUAAACCCUAUCCCUGUCAUUGAAAUAUUUGAUUGUUGGGGAAUUAAUUUUAUGGGCUCUUUUCCAUCAUCAUUUGGAUUUGUAUACAUUUUGGUUGCUGUUGAUUAUGUUUCAAAAUGGAUCGAGGAAAUUCCUUGUCAGCACAAUGAUCACAAGAUUGUGAUCCGCUAUUUAAAAGAAAAUAUUUUGAGUAGAUUUGGAAUAGCUCGAGCCAUUAUUAGUGAUGGAGGUAAGCAUUUUUGCAACAAGUCAUUUGAGUCUUUAAUGAAGAAAUAUGGAAUUUCACAUAAAGUUGCUACCCCUUAUCACCCUCAAACAAGUGGUCAAGUUGAAUUAGCAAAUAGGGAGAUAAAAUAAAUUUUAGAAAAGAAAGUUAACCCAAACUGUAAAGAUUGGUCUCUUCGACCAACUUAUGCACUUUGGGCAUAUCGUACUGCUUUUAAAAUAUCUUUAGGAAUGUCACCCUAUCGGCUUGUUUAUGGAAAAUCUUGCCACUUACCGGUUGAACUUGAACAUAAAUUAUUUUAAGUCAUUAAAUCUUUUAAUUCAAAUCUCGAUGAUGCUGGUAAUGUGUGUAAAUUACAAUUGAAUGAACUUGAGGAAUUAAGGAAUGAUACAUAUGAAAAUUCCAGAAUUAUUAAGGCAAGAACUAAAGUUUUUCAUGAUAAAAGAAUUUUUCAGAAAACAUUUGAAAUUGGUCAAAAAGUGUUGCUUUAUAAUUCCCGUCUCCAUUUGUUUCUAGGGAAGUUAAAGUCAAAGUUGAAUGGUCUAUUUGUUGUAAAAAAUGUGUAUCCAUAUAGAGCCAUAGAAAUUGAAAAUCCAAAGGAUGGUGUCCCAUUUAAAGUUAAUGGUCAAAGAUUGAAACCAUAUCUGGAAUACCAACUACGUGAAGCAGACACCGAAAUUAAUUUGAGUGACUCACCAAAUCUUGAUUAAGCCUUUUUGUUUUAACCUUUUGUGAAUUUGUUUUACUUUUACUUAUCGUUUGAAUUGUUUGAUUUUCUUUUUUCUUUUCCCUAUGUCUUGAAUGAAGUGCAUUAUGUUAUCUCUUGUUUAAAUGUGUUGUUUGACAAUUGUGCUUUAGAUCACCAAAUUUUUAUACUUGUCAUGAGUACCUCCAUGAGAAGUAUCCUUUCCAAACAUCUUAAAGAACUUUUACAUGUGAAAUUUCACCUGAGAAAAUUACUCCGAUUUUGUAAAUCACAUCCUAUUUGGGAUCUACAACCACCAGAGUUAGUAUUUCAUGUUAAAGAUCUAGAAAGACAACUCAAAGAAAUAGAGGAUGAUAUUUAUGAACUGCAAUUAGAACUGGAGAUAAAUUCAAUAAAAGGUUGAAGGGGAGUUAUAUUUCUUGUGUGUUUUUUUUUUAUUUUGUUGUUCUUCUCACCUUUGAUUUGAUUUUGCAGAUUUGAUUCAUUUUGUUUUGAUUCACUCUCCCGUAUAAAUGGCGAAUAAUGGUGUUCCGUGACUUUUUAAGUCGGUAUUCUCAAUUUCCCACAAUAACUGAAACCUCAAAGUCAAGCAUGGAAGAAAUACAAUGAAAAUUGGAUCAACUUUUUCCUUCUCUCUCUCAAAAUGCUCUUAAGAAGAUUUACAAAGCUCAUUGUGAACGACUGCAUUUGUUAAUGAUCAAUGGGAUUUCUGCUGACAUUCGCUGGCUAAUUGAAGCAAAGGUUUGAUUAGCAGAUGAGUUUUCUAAUCCAUUUGUUUCCUACAUGCUUGGUUUUGGUAAAAGUACAUUUGCUAAGAAAAGAAGAGCUAAGCAACUUGGCUCUAAAUGUCCUAACUGUGUAAGACUUACUUGCAACAAACUACGUUGUAAAACUUUAAGAAUGGUUUCUGUAAAUCGUGAAGAUAAAAUCAAAUUCGUUAAGGAUGGCAUGAGUAAAGAAUCGUUGGAUGAUCUCUUAAAACGCAUCCGAGCAAAUAUGUUCAACGUGAAAUUCAUAAUUUAUGAAAGUUUUUCUAAAAGGAGAGUGCACAGUUUAGUCUUGGGAAUCUAACUUUAAAAGACCUUGUUUGCUAAUUUAUAAGAAAACUAGAUAAGAAGCCUAUCCUCGACCCAUUGAGGGUGCUGAAGCAGUUACAGGACGUAAAACCAGAGGAAGAUAUGAGCCACAAUCACAACUACCAGUCAAUAUCUUUUUAUUUUAUCUUUUUCAUUUUAUUAUUAUUUUUGUUUUUUGUGUGUGAUUUUAUAUCUAAUCACUGUUUACUUUUUUUUUCACUGUUUGCCUUUGAAGUAUUAAGCUAAAAGCUUCACGCGUCAUUUGACAAACACACCACCCCAUUUACAGAUGUAUAUCAUUGUGUCCGUCACCAAGAUCCUUAAAUAGGAGCUCCUUUUCAAGCACUCACAAAUUGUUUCUUUUUAGAAUUGUUCUAAUGGCAGCAACUUCAAGCAGACAUCUUAAGAACAUUUUUCGUGCUUUCUGGAUUUCGCCAUGGAAAGUAUAAGGAGUUCGUUCAGGCAACUAUAGAUCUUGAUCGUGCUAUAGCAAAGAGAAAACAACAUCUUGUAUAUGGAAGAGGUGACCGAAGGUUAUCAAAGCUUGUCUCUAAAGCUGCUUUCAUUCGAGGAAGCCAAGUGCUAGGCAUUAUUCUAAAAGCCUUAAAACCUUUAGGAUGUCUACUAGACCCACUAACUAGAGAAUAGUUAGUUAUCUCAAGUAUGCGAGAAAGAAUAUCUGAAAUGUUAAAUCAUACUGACGCUUUCAUUUUCUUGCCAUGAGAUCUUGUAACUUUAGAGGCGCUAAUUACAUUUUCUUCUUAGGCUCAUUUGAAUAUCCAUAAAAAAUCCAUCGGUUUGUUAAAUGUUAAUAACUUUUAUGAUGGCUUAAUAGGAUUUCUUAAUCAUGCAAUUAAAAAUUAUUUCAUUCCACCCUCAACAAAAAAAGCUCUUUAUUUGUGCUCCUACUACUAACGAGUUACUUGAUCUUUUGCAAACUGACAAACCAAAGCCAGAUCCCAUGACUUUGGCAUUGGAUUGGGCAACUGAUGAUGAUGGCAGUAACCAUCGUAAAAAGUGUAAAUUAGAUUUAACUCUCUGUUUAUAAAUAUUUUUCAGCAGUGACCAAGUGAUGUGUUCUAAACUCUACUCCUUUAUUCUAAGACAUUGAGCACAAUGUCUCCCUCAGGUUAGGGGAAGGAAUAGUUGACAAUUGUGGAAUGUCUCAGUCCUAGUAAUGUUUUUACUAAUUUUUGUUGUAAAGACAAACUUUGGAUAAAAAUUUGAGUCGAAGAUGGCAGAAUAUAGAAUAUAGUGUCUUUAGAAACGCAUCUUCUUAAUUUUAAUGUUUUGAUUCUAAAGAAAAAAGUAUAAAAAAAAAUUGUUUUCUAAUUUCUUUCUUGCUUUUUAUCUUUUUUCUCUUAAUCAUCUCCCUUAAGUUUCUGCAAUCAGUCUCAAUUUUUUAGUGUUUUCUUUAACUAAAAAAAAAAAAGAGUUUUCUUUUUCAGUGUGAUCUUUUAACAUUAGAUAGCAUGAUGAUUUUCAAAUUUAGUAUUUGUAUUAUCUUUGGCCUUGAGUUAUGUUAUACUAUGUUUUUCCCUUUGCAUGUUGAAACGUAAAUUGAGAAAUUUGAUGAGUGAAAUUGAUUAAGCCAUUUGGAGGAAUGUACAUGUUAUGAAAAGUCCAAGCGAGUUUUUGAGCCUAUUAUCCUCGGAGAGUAACCUUGUUUGCCUAUACAGCUUCACAAUUUAUUGUACAAGAUCUCUAUAUUUUCUAUAAAAAAAAAAAAGAAGUGAAAAAAAAAGUUUGUGCAACCCUCUUCUCUCUAGCCUUUGAUUUUUUGAUAGAGACCGAUCCGCUUUUGUUGGCAAGUUCGGAAGAAGGCUUUGAGGGGUGGGCCUUUCGUACUCAAAUCCGUACGAGGAAAAUUAUUCAGCGCACUAAAAUCUAGUGGAUGGGGUUCAAUAUUCAUGAAAAGCCAGGUUUGAAAUGAUCCAUGUUACGGAACCAAGACAACCUAUCUUACUAAUAAAAGGGUUAAGGGCCUCCAACGCCUAUAAAUAGAAGCUUUUUUCAGUCUCUAUUUGGCAAAGGUCGCCUGGGUUUUUUUAUUGCAUGAAAAAAAGAGGAAGCAUAGACAAGAGCAAGAGCAUCUAAAAGUUCAUUGAACUAGUGGAUAUGAAAGAUUAUUUAGAGCCCUAAAAAAUGACAGAAGGUCAUCUUUGAUCCGUUUGAGCCUUUCUAGCUAACCCUAUUAUAAAGUAUCCAUAGUUAAACCCUUUGAGCCUUUAAAAAAAAAAUUCUUUGAUAAUCUAUCAUCUUGUCCCACUUCAAUGUGGAGUAUCACCUUAUGUUUUAUGUUUUCCACCAUCCAAUUAUGUUUGAAAAUAGGGAUGAUUAUGUAUUCCUGAUAAUGGUGUUAUGAAAAAAAAAACAAAUAUAUGUAUAUAAAUAAAUAAAUAAAUAAAAUAAAAAAAUUUCCAAGCGAAAAAAAAAAGCUUGUAAUCUCCAAAAAGUCCCUUAUUUUUCAAACAUAUAUUUUUGUUUUUUCUAUUAUCCUUUUUUUGUUAGCCAUAACCCUAGCCUACGUUACGUCCUAAUAAAAGUCCUUCUCGAUUUUAGGGAACUAUAGUCUAAAGUAAAAGCUGGUGAUAUGGACUAAAAGAUGUGGUAAUGCAUAAAAAUAAAAAUAAAUUAGUUUGGCUAAUAAUUCCCCUGAGUUGAGAUAAUUUUAUUUCUAAGUUGUGGGCGUUAUUCUUUCAUUUUGGUGAGAGCAUGUGACAUUGUUUUGCUAUUUUCUCAAUCUACCACUUUAUAGAGUGACAGUUUUUCUGGGGUAUACUUUCUUUUGAGAGAGUCACUCUUAACCAUGAGGUUUGGGGGUUUGACGUAUCAUUCUUAAAAGUGGUUUGAUUAAUGCUGCUUUGAUAAUUGAUCAUUUUACAUGAUUUUACUUAACUGAUUUAUGUGGGUGUGACUUUCUUUAGGCUGAAGAUAAUGCUUAUACUUUUAUUUGAUUGUUGUCACUAAUCCAAUGAAAGAAGUAAACACAAUUUUCACAAUUUAAAAAAAAAAGAUUUUCAAUUUGGUUUUGAAAUUUCUCUAAAUUUUUAUUGCUUAAAUUGCUAGGGCCUAGCAAUAAGCUGAUUGGGGGGUGUGAUUGACACUAAAAAGUGUACAUUUAAUAAGGAUAAAAUUAUUAAUUUUUCAUUUAUUGUGUCGAUUAAUGCGCUCUUUAUUUCUAAAUUAUCUUCGUGUUACUUUUGUUUAUUGCAAGAAAAUUUCACAUAUGUCAAACUUUUUUUAAUAUCAUAGACCGUUGUUUGAAGAAACUUGAAGAUAACACUUUUCUUUUAAAAAAUCAAUAGUUUUUAUCUUGGUUUCAUGUUUUGGCACCUUUUGUCAAAAAGGGGUAAGAAUAACGUAAACUAUCAAUUUGCAUUGUUGGGAAAUUAGAGUACUCAUUGCUUCGUGAUAGGUAAAGUAGUUUUUUAUUCGAGAGAGUAGUUCUUCAUUUUAUUUAAAUUCAAUUUAAAUUUGAAUUCAAUGAUAAAGGGAGUUUAAUUAUAUGUUCAUUGAGUUUAUCUAUUCUUUCUCUGAGGAGGAUCUUACUUGAUUUACAUAUGAUAUUUUGUUUGAUAUGCAUUAUUACUCUCUUACUAUAUUGGUAUGAGAUUGUUUAUGUUAGUGGGAGAGUUAAUUUUCUCAAGCGAACUUUAAACAUAAGCACUUAUUCAUUAUAGGAGACUUUGAUAUUGAACUAACGGUUACUAAUGAUUUUUGUUUUGAUUAAUUCUUUGUUUAGUUUGCUACCUAUGUGUAGGUUAUUGCUCGUGGUCUAUCUUACUUCGACACACGCCAUUUGAAGAUUAGAAAAUUGAUUAGCUAAUGUUUUGACUACAAGGAUGCAAAAAGGAGGCUAUCGUUAGGGUUUUUAUUAUUGGCAUCAUUUUGUCAAUAAUAUUGUAAUUUAUCUAUUUCUUAUAUUAAGGAUUUGUCUAGUCUUAGGUAUUUAUUAGACUGGAUUAUGUGGAAUAUUGGAGAAUAAUUUUGGAGACAUAAAGAAGCAAGUUAGUGUUUACAUGAGUAUUACAUGUCAAAGAGUUCCAAAUUAAGGUGACUACAACAUAUAUAAGCAUAUCAAGUAUUUAUGGAAUAUUAGACUCUUAAGGAAGUAUAUCAUAGUACUCGUCUACUAGGGUCUAAUUGAAAUAUUACACUUAUAUAAAAAGAAGUAUUUCACAUAUUAAGGACUGAAGAAGACACAUUGUACUUUAUAUCAAAAAAGUAGCCAACGUAGAGAAUAACAAGAAACCUUAUGUGGCCACAUAUGAUGUUUCAUACACUCAUGGAGUUUUUAUCUUUUUGUCUUCUUCAUAUCAAGUCUUUCAUUAGACAUCUUUGAUGAUUACUUUGAUCUCUUCUAGACAAAGAUGUUGUUUGUCGUGUUAAAAGAAUCUCAAGGAAGCAACAAACACAAUUAAAGAUGAAUGAUGCCUGCAAAAAUAAGAGGAAGUUCGAAAUUAUGUAAAAUUACAACAGAUUGUAAUCUUUUCAUUACUUAAUGAGUUGCUUAAUGUAUAGGUGUGGCCUCAUGGAUAUAGGAUUGUGAUCUGAAUCAUGAAAAAAUGUUCUUUGUGCUUUACUUUUUGUAAUUUACUAUUUUUAGCAUAUUUGAUAGAUUUAGGUGAAUGAACUAUAAACAUCAGUAUAAAUAAUAAUGAUGAUUUGUUUAUGUGAACAAGCACUCACAUAGAAUAUCAUAUAAAGAAUAUUGUGAACAGUACUCGCAUACAAUAUCAUAUGAAUAGUAUAUAUGAGCAAUGACUUCAAAAUUAAUUAAUUAGCAUAAUUAAUUUUCUAUGGUUUAAUUUACUAUAAUUGUUAAAAUAGAUCUAAAUUCUUAACAAUAAGAAUUAUAAUUUAAAUAUAUUUAAAUUAUAAUUCAUUUAAAUAUAUUUAAAGUGAUUUCAGAAUUAAUUAAUUACCAUAAUUCAUUUUUUUUCAAAUAAGUAUGGGGGGGGGGGGGGGGGUUCUAUUAUACCCAGAUGGGUAAAUGAUCCAACUACCACCCUUCUCUUUUUUUGAGGAGUUCAAAAAUACUGUGAUGGCUCUGUUCCUUUAUAUAUUUAUUUUGUUUAUGACUCAAGAAUCCUGAAGUUUCUUUUUUCUAAUCUUCUUUUUUUAUUUUUGUGAUCUAAAUUCAUAUUAAUAACAAUUAGAAUUCAUUUGAGUAUAUAAAUAUAUUUUCUUAACUAAUUAUGUUUAUCUAAUAUUCAUUUUUUCUCAAAAAUAAAGGGACAGAUAAAGUCUAAAUAAUUUUUAAUUUGUACCUCUGCAGAAUUUAAACUUGGGUGAUCAAUAUUUUAUCAUAUCAAUAUCUAUUUGAAAACCAGCCGGCUAGACCCUGAGGCUAAUAGAUCCCCUGUUAAUCAUUAAAUAUAUGUGAACAUUUGUACUUCCUUGCUAUCCUAUUUGAUUACAAAAUGGGCUUAAUUGCGGUAUGAAUUCAUAUUUUUUAAAUCAAUAUUAUUUUUUAAUUGUCAUUCUCAAUGAAAUUAAUAUUAACAAUAUCUUGAGUGAGAUGGUUAUGCCUAUCUUUAAUUUUGAGGAAGUAAGAAGAAGAUGAGAUAGAAAGAUAAAAUAGCACAAGAUGAAGAUGCUUACAUGUGAGAAGAGAAAAUAUUUUGAGAUGUAACAUAAGAGAAUAUAAUGUUGGAGAAAGUAAGAAUAAAUAAAAGAGAGAAAAGAAAUUAUAUAAGAAUUAUUGAUUCCUCUUAUCUAAUUUUUACGAGUCAUUAUUCUAUAUACUCUAAAAGUCUAAACAUUAUAUUUAUAUAUUUAAAAAGUUGUAUUAUUGAAUUGGGGCCAAGAUUACAUUACCCCACGGUAACCGGUACUCUACCCCGGGUUUAGUAUUGUAGUAAGAGUGUUGUUAAAUUUGAGCUUAAUGUAUCUGAAGCUAUAAAAUAGACAUACGACUUAUAUGUGUACCUGCAUUGUAACUAGGUUCUGAGUUAAAAUACAAAAUGUAAUUGGAGCAACUUGGUUAGAGUUUACUUUAUAUGUUAGUUUUAUCUCAAUGUCAUUAUUGCUUAACUCAUCAACUCCACUCACCUUAUCACCCAAACGUACUUAAAUUUUACAUUUCACCUUAAACUCCAUCUGUCAUUUCGCACUUUUCGUUUCCUCUCCUUCUCAUCAAGACCUUAUCACUAUUUACCAAAAGCUUAGUGCCUAAACUUGAUUAUGAUAGUUUAUAAAAUCUUGAAUGGCAAAAUACCCAAAACUGAAUGACUUGGUUUUCAAGCUCAAAGCUCACCAUGUUUUAAAAAUCAUCAAUACUCAUUAAAAUACAAAAAUGGCUUUGUAGCUUUUUUUUUGUUACAAAUAUUAUAUCAACUAUAUUUUUUCGAUGUUGAAUAAACUUUUUCGUCAUUGUAACUUUCAUUCUCCGAAUCAUGUGAGGAUUUUGAUGAUUAAGCUUAUAGAGAUAAGGAGGAAUUAAGGUUAUUUAAAACCUAACAAUCUUCGCAGUAAUAAGUAGAAAAGUUAGCUUUUUACACAAAGUUUCUAAUAAUUUUAAGAUGAUUGCAUCUAAUUGUUGUUACACUAAAAGACAAAAGAUACGGUACGUAAUCCUAGAGUGGAAUCAAGAAUCUCUCUUGAUUUAAUCAUAGACAGAGCAAAUAACUUUAUUACUGAUUAGUAGUUAAUAAAAAAAAGUUAAAUCUUACCACUACACUCUUAGUAAAUUACAUAUAGUAUAAAAUCUUUAAAAGCUCAAUAGAGCUAAAAUCAGGAGAUGGUUCUAUUCCCUUGAAAUAACGUAGUUGAAUCCUUGAACUUGCCCCCAUAGUGUAAUACUAUUCUUCAUAAUUAAUUAAUUCUUCCUCUAAGAGAGGUCAAAUUAAAUCUAAUUCAAUUGAAUCAUUUAUUGCAAAAUUACAAACUCCCCAAUUUUGAAAAAAUAUCUUAAGUUGGCGAAAUCCUAUUAAAUCUUAAUACUUUCUCUAAAAAUAUAACAAAAGUUAAUACUCCUAUGAAGAGAUUAAAAAUUUGCCUUUUAAAGAAUUAUGAAAAAAUACCAAUGAGCAAAUUAACAUGUUAUGUACUGGUGGUAAAAGAAAUUAAAAAAAUUAAAAAAGAAGAGUUACAUGUAUAACGGUGCAUAAAAUUUUAAAAUAAUAUAAAAUUUGAACUCGAAUUUUUUUGUUCUUCCUGCAAUAGCAGAACACGUUUUAAAAGGUUAUUAUGUUUUUAUUAUUACUAUACCUGUGAAGAAUGACCGUUGUGUCUCUCACAUGUUGCAACGUGUAGAUUAUUGAUAGCUAAAAAUAUUAUAAAGCUUUUGUAUCUCAUUUCGAAACGUCUCUUCGAUCUUGCAUUAACAACAAAUAAUAAUGAUACAGCUAGCAUCCCAUAUCCAGCCAAGCUAGCCUUGCCUUAUAUUUCUCUUCAGCGUUUUGCAUGCUCUAUUCUCAACGACAACUCAUCAUCACCUCCCUUUAUAAAUCCCUCACCACUCACCACCACCACAUCUCAAUUCCCCUUAUCUUGAUUUUCUAAAAGCAAUUUGUGUUACAAUAAUGGAGUUGAAGAGAAAUUUCACUAAUUGCUUCUUUGUGAUUUUGUGGAUGGGUACUUUUAUUAUUAGCUCGUGUGAGGCCUACAAGUUCAAUGUUGGUGGUAAAAAUGGAUUAUGGGUUGUGAAACCAUCUGAGAAUUACAAUCACUGGGCUGAGAGAAUGCGGUUUCAAGUUAACGAUACUCUUUGUAAGCAAGCCCCAGCUCUCUCUCUUAUAUAUAAUUCAUUUUCUUUGUAUAUUAUUAAUAUUAUACCCUGCCCCGUAGCUUGAAUGGUCAUGAGUAUGCAUUUGUGGCUGCGCUCACUCGCAUUCUUGUUUACUGUGGAUAAGAAUAUUGUAAAUAUGUUAUAAAAUAGUAAUAUUAAUUCUUUGCAGAUUUUAAGUACAAGAAAGGAUCGGACUCGGUGUUGGUGGUAACGAAGGACAAUUAUUUUUCAUGCAACAACAAGAAACCGGUACAAUCUUUAACUGACGGCGAGUCAGUUUUCAGUUUUGAUCACUCAGGUGCUUAUUUUUUCAUCAGCGGCAAUGCUGAUAACUGCAACAAAGGCCAAAAGCUCAUGGUUGUAGUUAUGGCUGUGAGAAACAAAUCCCAACACCAUGAAGCUCCUCCGUCUCCUUGUCCGGUUUCUUGUACGCCGCCUGCUUCUUCUCCACAGCCGUCUGCAUCUUCUCCCCCGACAUCACCUGCAUCUCCUCGUUCUUCGGUACCACCUCCAGUAGAGUCGCCAAGGAGCUCACCAAGUCCUAUGCAGCCACCGGAGCCUAGUGAUAUUCCAUCAGAUUUCGGUGCUCCAGCACCGGCUCCGACAAGUUCGGGUUCAUCGGGUUUGGGUUGUAAUAUUGGCUUGGUUUUGGGAUUUAGUGUUGGAGUGACUCUGGUUUUGGGUAGCUUUAUUGGCUAGACCUAGUAUCUUCUGUUUAGACUUUGGAUUAAUAUGUUGAGGGUUUGAGUAAUUACAUUAUUUUGUUCUUUUCAAGGAUUAUAUAAUUUGAAGUAAAGUUCUUUUCUUUAGCUACAAUAUAACCAAAUGGGUAAAAACUCAUUUAGUCCCUAUAUUUUAAGAUUAGUGAUCAUUUAGUCCCUACAUUUUUAAAAAUACCUCGAAACAUCCCUGUCGUUAAAUUAUUAAUACUCCUACCGUUACUUUUUAUUUCUUUUGGCUUACUUUUACAAUAUUAAACUUUUAUAAGAAUUUUUUUUAACAUUAAUAAAAAGAAAAUAAUUAAAUUACCAACUUAAUCCGAAAAAAUAAAAAAAAAAUUUAUAUUAAUUUUUAGUUGUCAAAAAUUGUAUGCAAACUACCAAGUGUGCAAAUGGUGCUUGCAAAAAAAUUAAUAUAAUUUUUUUUAUUUUUUAGGGUUAAAUUGGUAAUUUAAUUAUUUUCUUUUUAUUAAUGCCCAAACAAAAAAAAUAUUAUAAAAGGGUAAUAUUAUAAAAGUAAGCCAAAAGAAAUAAAAAGUAACGGUAGAGGUAUCAAUGCUUUAACGGCAUAGAUGUUUCGAGGUAUUUUUAAAAAUAUAAUGACUAAAUAGACACUAAUCUUAAAAUAAAGGGACUAAAUAAACUUCGACCCUAACCAAAUUUCAUGUGGCUACAAUAUUUACCAUGUGCCUUCUCUCUUUGACAUUCUAAUUAAUCGUCUAAUCAUAUUAAUUAACAAAACGGUAUUUGAUUUGGUAUACUUGUUUUUUCAUUUUUUGUCUCCAUAAUUUAGUUAAAAAAAUGUGCUUGAUUAUAAGUAAAGUGAAAAGAAAUUAUUUUAGAUAAAGUGUAUUUGAUUUUAGGUAUAUUGUUUUUAAUUAUAAAAUAAAAAAUGUCGCAUGAAACAAAAAAGUGAUAUUAUUUCAAUUUGCAAAAAUGUUUACGAUCUUUUGUGGCAAGCACAAAAAUGUUAUUAUGUUUUUUGGCAUUCUCCCCAAAUGCCAUUAAUAAAACGAAAAUGACAUUCAUACAACAGUUAGUACAUUAUUUAGCAUCGAACGGUGCGUUUCAAACUAACGAUAAAUAAGUCACUGUAGCUUCAAAAUGGCACACGCACAGUCAACACACACGCGCUUUCCCGCUCUGUCUCUCUCCCUCAAAGCACAGUUCUGCUCUCUCGCCCUCUUCCUCACCGCACAGCCCUGCUCUAAUGCUGCUCUCUCCCUCACACGACACAUCUGCUCUCUCGCUUUCUCCCUCACGCCACAAAUCUGCUCUUUCGCUCUCUCCCUCAUGCUCCAUUCACCAAUAUGACCAGCCAUUGUUCACCGCGCUCCGGUCUCACUGUCGGUCAUAUACACCAUCAAUGAAUGGAUUAAAAUUAAUAGAUUGAAGUUAAUUAUAAUAAGUGGACAGUUUUUUCAUGAAUUAAAGCUAUCAGUACAAAGCUUACGGAGGGAGAGAGCGAGAGAGUUUAUGCGUUUGUCAACAGCAUGUGUGUUUUACCAUUUUGAAGCUACAGUACCAAUUUAUAUUUACUUCAAAACUCACCGUUCGAUGCUAAAUGGUGUGCUAAGUGUUGUGUGCAUAUCGCUAUUGGUUGUCAAAGGGCAAGUACCUCAGCUUGCUUAAUAUAUUUCUGGUGUUAAGAAUAAUAAGAUUAGGCAAAUAAAAACCUUAGAAAAUUAAUAAUCCUAAUUAAUUAAUAAUGAAAUUAUUGUUCAUAUAUUAUUGUUUAUGUGAUAUUGUUUGUGAUUCAAUAUUCACAUUCAUUGUUCAUAUAAUGGCAUAAAUGAGUCACUACUGUUCACAAUUACUAUUUUUAUGAUACUGUAUAAGAGUUACUACUUAUUGUCAUUAUUCAUAGCACUGUUCAUAUUAUUGGUCACUCACCCUAGAUCCAUCAAAUAUGAUACAAAUAGUAAAUUAUAUAAAGUAAAGCACGCAUAGAAUUUUUACGUGGUUUGGAUCUCACUCCCACAUCUAGAAGGGCCAAGGCCACAAUCCACUAAGUGAUGAAACAAUUGCACCCUAUUGGAAUCUUACACAAUUUUAGACUCUCUCUAACUCUUGCCACCAUGUUAAAUCUAACUCAAUUGACCUUGCGUAGUGAGCAACACUCGUCUUCAAUUAUGUUUGCUACUACCUUGAAAUCCCUUCAACACAACAAACGACUCUUUCAUCUUGACGAAACAAAAGUAAUCAUAUAGAAUGUCUAAUGAAAGACUUGAUGUGAAGAAAACUUGAAGACUAAAUAAGUUUUCUACUUGUUCUUUACAUUGGCUACUUCUCUGAUAUAAAAUACAAUAUGUCUGCUUCAUUCUUCAAUGUGUGGUAUACUUCCUUUUAUAUAGGUGUAAUGUUUCCCGAAACACCAGUAGAGGAGUAUGAGGAUAUACUUUCUUAAAAGUUCAAUAUUUCAUAAAUACUUACCCAUUUAGAAAUCACCUUUAUGUGAAGCUCUUUGAUAUGUAAUCCUUAUGUACGUGCCAAUUUGCUUCUUUAUGCCUCCAAAAAAAUAUUCUCUAACAUUCCACAUAAUUUAAUCUAAUAAGUAAAAAAAACUAGACAAAUCCCUAAUGCAAGGAAUACAUAAAUUACAAUAUAAAAACAACUGAUAAUAAAAACUCUACCAAUCUCCCCCUUUAACAUUCUUAUAGUCAAAACAUAACUAACUAACUUUCAAGCCUUCAAAUAGCAUGGGUAAAAGUUGGAUAGACCAUGCCAAUAACCUACACAUAGGUAACAAAACAAAUGAGGAACUUAAGAAAAUAAAAAUAAAACAAUUGGUCACCGUAAGUUCAAGAUCAAAAUCUCCUUUAGUAAAUAAAUGUUUGUGAUUAAAGUUCACUUGAGAAAUAGUAAGAGAGCAAUAAUUGAUAAACUAUAAAGUUCAUCACUUAAAGACUUGCCUUAAACAUUAUCGUUAUUGAGGACAGAGGUAAGCAAAUAGAAGAUUUUCUCAAUUAACAAGUUAUUAAUACAAACACACAACACACAAAUUGACCAACAACAAAAAUUUACCAAGCACACACUAACAAAUGUGCACACAAAAUUUGAGGGGAUUUAGAGUUGUUAAACUAAAUAAUUUCAAGCAGAAAAUAUGAAAUUGUAGAAAAUAGUUUUAAAGAGGUUGAAUUAUGAGGUGAAAUAUGGUUAAUUACUCAUUCUCCACCACCAAACAUUGGAUUUUAGGUUAAUUAUCAAAUCAUGGUUAACUUUCUUUUGAAAACAAAAACCUAAGAUAAUUACAAGCUCAAUUAUUUUUAUUUUACCUUAUUUAGUUGUUAAGUAGAAUAAGCCCUUUACUUAAUCUCUUUCCAGAAGACAAUCCAGAACAAGCUCUCUAGAUUUAUUUUGAUGAAAGUAUUAGAAUGAAGAAAAAUAUAGGCUGAAUCAAGAAAUAAACACACAAGCUUGUCUAAGUUACGUUAAGCGUAACUUACGUUUUUUGUCUUUUUUCUUCUGGCGAAUUUCACACGAGUCCUUGUAUUCUUUAUGUUUAUGGAUGUAUUUGCCUUCUUUUAUCAAUUAUACAUCUAUUUUUCAUUCUUUCCAAUGUUCUUUUUAUUUUUUUAAAUAAUAACAUACGAUUAUCAAAUGACCAAACCUAGGUUACGUGUAACGUAACAUACAUUCAAGAAGUGAAAUAUCUAUUGGCACCCUUGAAUUUUAUGGAAACUACAUUAAUUGAAUUAAAAUGGUAAAUUAAAAUAUCAAAUGGUAUCUAUUAAUCAGAAUUAAUCAGAGUAUAUGUUGAUAAUGCCCUUUAAUCAGAAUUAAUUCUUAGGAAUGAUUUUAACGGUAAUUCUGAAAGCUAUUGCAUGUUAAUUUUGAAGUCUGUCAUGUAUAUUUUUUAUAUUUUUUAUAUAAUUUCUCUUUAAUUUAAUUAUAUAAUUAAAUUACAUGCAAUAAACCUACAAUUCAAGACUAGGAUUAAUAAAUUUAGGACCAGAAGUUUAUUCUGAAUUUAUAGAUUUGUAUGAAUUUGAUAAUCAUUUAAUAAUGUUUAAAGAAAUAAAUAAAACUUUAGAGAAAAUAAAAAAAUCGAUAGGAGGGAUGGAAGAAGACAAAUACAUCCACAGCUGUAAAAAUUGAAAAUAAAAAGAAUUAGGAGGGCUCAUAUGAUAUUUGCCAAAAAGAAAAAGACAAAGAACGUAAGGUACAUUCAUUGUAACUUAGGCGUUCCCUUAUUUUAAUCAUUUACGAAACUUGACAGGGAUCAACCGUGUGUUUGAAUGAUGUCAAUUUGAAAUUGAUUUAUUUAUUUUUUAAUAUCCCUAAAAUAUUUUUAUUUAUAAAAAUGCCAUUAACAAAAUAUUUUUAUUUUUCUAAUUAUUAAAAAAAAAAAAGCUUAAGCGGUGUCCUUCAAGCAUUAUGGUUUAAAAGGCACAAACUUUCAACACUCAGACAAAUUUUUCAAAGCAUUUCGUAUGUUCAGCGAAUGAACAACCCCUCUCGCUCACAGAUGAUUGAACCCUCUCCCCUUUACAGCCCUCUCUUAAUCACUAAGGAACUUUCAUAGCCACUCUCACUCAAUUGACCAAUCACAGCCACCAUCAUUCAUAGUUACUGUCGCUCUUAGUCACCGUCUCGAUCUAUCAGCCCUAACCCUUAUAGCCACUGUCACUGCUGCAGAAGAAGAGUCACUCAUAGCUGCCAUCACUGCUUGUAGCCGAUAAAAUCUCUUAUUUAUACUUUGACCCCAAACCUCUCUUCACUCUUCUAUAUGUCACAUCUCAACAUUCAAUAAAAACAAACAGAAAAAAUCUCCUUCAAUUUGUUAUCCUCUCACAACAAACAAAAUGCCUGAGGCUUAUCGCAAUCCUCUACCUCCUCCGCCACCCCCCAUCCCAGCGUUAUGGCUCCCCAAGGUUCAGCCGCUCUGGCUCGGUUGGUGGCUCGGGAGCUGGCUCCAACAUGCUCUGAUUCCACAUCGAUGAUGCUCCCGUGCUGAAGAUCUAGCUCAUAGUCAUCCUCCACAUGAGCCUCUGCUGCGUCGGUUUCAUCACGGCUCUUCUCGUCUUUGGCAAGCUCUACCAUUAAAAAUCUGCUAACCAACCGACAGAAUCGAGCUUAUUGAUGGUAAAUCUAGUUUGCUCUAUUUUAUUUUAUUUUAUAAUUUUAUUCCUUUUUUGGUUUUUUUCUCUCUAAAUGAUGGCUUAAAUCAGGACUUGGUUGGUUUUUACGGAUGAGCCUUUGGUUCUCAAUUGUGUUUAUUUGUUAAUCAUUGAUUUUAUUAUUUUGAUUAAAUUGUUACUACUUUUAAAAUUUUAACUUUUCGUUAAAAUUAAUGCAAUGUGAUACCAAUUAGGGAUAUAACAUAAAGAUUAGUGUAUUUACUCUUAUAAAAAGAGGGUGUCUUAUUGGUUAGAAAUGAAUCCAUGUGCGUUAAAGAUUUGGAGUUUUUUUUACUGGACAAGAAAUGUCUUCCUUUGGUUGUUCAUUUCUAUAAUGUUUAUCAAUGAAUAUGGUUUCAAAUAAGGACACUAGUUCAUGUUUAGAUUCAGAAUAGGGGCGUUAUUCUCGAUAAUUUCUUUGGCGAUGAUUUAGAAAGAAAAUUUUGGAACUAUUAACAUGUCUAUCUUCAUCUAUUUGUUUUAUGUGGGUGCGAUUAGCACUUAGUCUGUGUGGCUUUGCCCUGAUUCUGCUAUAAAACUGGUGUGAGCUACUUAACUUUAUGGUGAAGUUGCAUUAGAAUCCAACGAGCGUUUAACUCCUAUAUUUGAAUAUUGAUAAUUUCUCUGUUCUUUAAGGUAUUUUCAUAUUGUUUUAUAUUCCUUUUUGCUUGUUUUCAUAAUUUGUAUUUUUAGAUUUAAGAAAUGUACUUGGCUGCUUCUAUUGAGCAGUGAUCUAGUAAUAGGAGUAUUAUUUUACUAUUUUUUUCUAAUUGUUAUAGUGAACUUUUUCAGUAGUAGUAUAUAUUUGAUUGUGAAUAAAUGUCCGUGGUUUGUAAUUGUUCUGUCCUUGUCUAUUAUGAGUCAACUUGGCUAUGAAAAGUCAUGACUUUGAGAUAAUAAACUAUUAGAUUCAGAUUGAGGUUUUAUUAUGAGUCAACUCUAUUUCUUAACGAGUCAAAUUAACUUAGUUAAUUUGCAGGUUAGUUGUGAGUUAUUGAAAUUUGAGUGAAACAACAUACUUUUUUCGUCUAUGGCAUUUAGAAUGGGUGCUCACUCACUACUUUUCCCUACUUUUUAAGCCCAUACUUUGAUUCAACAACCAUUUUGAUGGUUUUAUUAAUAGCUGCAUUAAAUAAUCUGUUAGUUGGUGCCAUGAGUAGUCAACAUUGGAACACUUUCGUGUGAUUUUCAGCUGUCCCCAGUGAGUUGAGUUUAAGCAACUAGUUACACUUGUUAAGCAUUUAAUUGUAAUUCAGAUAUUGAUAUAUUGCACCCAGGGGCCCAAUGACGCCUUAAAUAUUACCAUGUUUUGUCAGUUCGGGUCAACUUUCUUAGGAUCUCAAGUAUAUUGAAAUAGUUGUAUGACUUUCUUGCUUAUGCUCAACUGCUGCCAAGCUGGAUCAAUAUCUUAAAAUAUCUAUCUCUUAUUUCUUUUUUCAUUUCUUUUAAGGUUUUUGGUUAAUUAUCAGUGGUCUUUCAUAUAGUUUAUCUUAUUCUAGUUUAUUUACCCCUUUUUUUUGGAUGGAAAAUCCCCUCAAUGACUAUUUUAUACAACCUGGUGCUGUCCAAUUUUGGCCAGUGAGGUGCAUGUUGAUUGGCCUCACUAUUUAUGACAAAUGAACCUCAUUUUAGAGUAUAAAAACUUCUCCAACUGAUAUCCAACCCUGUUGGCAUCUUGUGUUAAAAAUUGAAUAAGCAUAUCUAAUAUUUUAUAUCUUUUGGGCCAACAGUAUAAAGAACUACUAGUAUUCCCAACUUGUCACUAUAUGGCAGGUGUAGCAGUUUUAUGGGUGUUAUCCAUCCUCUUCAUAUAACCAUUUUAAGCCCUCAAGGACCAUGAAGAGACAUGUCUAGGAGGUUUUCAGACAGUAAGUAAAGAAAAUUUUGUGUUCAUGUCCAUUGUUGUUGACUAAUUUUAAGAUUUUCUGUUCAUGUCUAUUGUUGUUGAAUAUAUAUAU
rnacentral:lncRNA from 1 species